CCCACAUUGAGUCAUGGCACUCCUUAAGGAUUUCUUUCCUUAAGCUUCCCCACUUUGGGACGUAGAUCCGCUUGCCCUUGGUGUAUAGCAAGCCGUCCUCAAGCCAAAACCUUCUUGUCUUCCCAUCCUUGACAAACUCCACAAUGUUCUUGGCUUGGACGUCAUGUGACAAACCUUCUCGGACACGGCCCAAGAGAUGGCUUUGCGGCUUGAGUACCGUAGCCAUUAACUCUACUCGUCUACUUAGAGCAUCGGCCACCACGUUCUCCUUUCCUUGCUUGUACUCUAGCUUGUAAUCAAACUCCGCUAAGAACUCUUGCCACCUUGCUUGCUUAGGUGUGAGCUUUUGUUGGGUUUGAAAGUAGCUAGUGGCAACGUUGUCCGUCUUGAUGACGAAUGGGGUACCAAGCAAGUAAUGCCUCCAAACUCUAAGGCAAUGGACGAUGGCGGUCAUCUCCUUUUCAUGGGUCGUGUACCUCUUCUCGGCAUUGUUUAGCUUGCGACUUUCAUAGGCUAUCGGAUGUCCCUCUUGCAUCAACACUCCUCCUAUGGCAAAGUCGGAAGCAUCAGUGUGCAACUCGAAUGGCUUACUAAGGUCGGGCAACCUUAGUACAGGCUCCUCCAUUAGGGCCUUCUUCAACCUCUCAAAGGCCUCUUGACACCGGUCCGUCCAUUCCCAUGCCUUGUUUUUCUUAAGAAGGUCUGUUAAGGGUGCCGCUAUAGCUGAAUACCCUUUUAUGAAUCUCCGAUAGUAGUUGGCUAGCCCCAGAAAGGAUCGUAGUGUUGGUACCUUGGUCGGCGGUUCCCACUCUUGAAUGGCCUUGAUCUUGCCCUUUUCCAUCAUAAGUUUCCCCUCUUUUAUCUUGUGGCCAAGAAAUUCUACUUCUUUUGUGGCAAAGGAGCAUUUCUCCUUCUUGACAUAGAGUUCAUGCUCCCGAAGGGUCUUGAACACUAUGCGCAAGUGCUUGACGUGCUCUUCCAAUGUCUUGCUAUAGACAACGAUAUCAUCAAUGUAAACCACGACAAACUUGUCAAGAUAAGGAUGGAAUACCUUGUUCAUCAAUGUACAGAAUGUUGCAGGGGCAUUGGUCAGACCAAAUGGCAUGACUUUAUACUCGAACGCUCCAUAUCUGGUCACCAUCGCCGUCUUCGAUUCGUCUCCAGGGGCUAUCCUCACUUGGUAGUAUCCCGAUCGAAGAUCUAACUUUGUGAAGUACCUUGCUUCACCAAGUUGAUCGAAUAAGUCGGUGAUCAACGGAAGUGGGUACUUGUUCUUGAUGGUAAUCUUGUUCAAUGCUCUAUAGUCGAUGCACAACCUUAGGCUACCUUCUUUCUUGCGUUGGAACAAGACGGGUGCACCAUAUGGGGACUUGGAGGGUUGGAUGUAGCCAGCAUCAAGUAGCUCGUUGAGUUGCUUCCUCAAUUCCUCCAACUCGGGUGGCGACAUCCUAUAAGGUGAUUUGGAGGGAGGCUUAGCACCAGGCUCCAACUCAAUCGCAUGGUCGACCUCUCUCCUUGGUGGCAACUUCUUUGGCAGUUCCUUAGGCAUCACGUCCGCAAACUCCAUAAGGACGUCUUCCACUUGUUUUGGCAAAGGCUCGUACUUCUCCUCCCCUUCAUUCAACAUUAGGGUUGCAAGAAAUGUGGCCUCGCCUUUCUUCCAAGACUUGGCAAAUUGAAUUGCCGACAAGUGCUGGGUACACUUCUUAGCUUGCCAUUCCAAUGGCACCAGGCAAGGUUGUCUUCCGUCGGCCAGGAUACAGAAAAUAUUGUAGAAGGGAAUGGGAAAGGCUCGUACCUUGUCCAUGAACUCUAACCCAAUGACUACGCCAUAGUCGUCCAUCUUGACUACGGUGAAGUCGAUCGUUCCCUUCCAUGUGCCAAUGUCUACGUGCACAUUACGCGCAACUCCAACAAUGGGGGUGGCGGCGGAAUUUACCGUCUUCACGCUACCAGGCUCCUUUAUGACUCGGAGGCCAAGCCUUGUGGCUUCCUCCGACGUCAUGAAGUUGUGUGUUGCUCCCGUGUCCACCAACACACGCGUCGUCUUGUCACCAGUCUUGACGUCGACGAACAAUGAUCCUCCUCCAACUUGAGCCUUAGGUUGUGGGAGGGUUGUCUGGAUGGCAUUCAGUAGACGGAUGCAUCCUAUACUUGCAUCGUUACUCUCCUCGGCCUUGUCCUCCUUGAAGGCCAUGGCCUUAAGGGCCUUCUUUUGUGGGCAAUCUCGCAUCAUGUGAGGGCCGUCGCAUAGGUAACAAGUGGGUUGCCAAGACUUACCUUUGCCUUUGUCAUGCUUAUCGGCUUUCUUCUCCUUCGGUUUGCUUGUCUCGGCCUUGUCCUUCGGCUUAUGUUCUCCCCCACUUCUCUCAUGGUUACCCUUCUUCCCCGUGGACUUGGAAUCACCUUGGUGGCUUGAUUUAAACUCAAUCAAGGAUUCGGCAGCGGCAAUGGCAUCAGACAAUGUUUGCACGUGUCUCCUUUGUAGUUCGAGUUUUUGCCCAAUUUUGCAGUCCACUCAUGAAGUACAUGAGCUUGUCUUCCUCUAACAUGUUGGGCACCUCAAAUAACAAGCUCACGAAGGCGUUGACAUAGUCUUUGACGCUCCCCGUUUGCUUGAGCCACCUUAGUUUCUCCUUGGCUUCGUACUUGGCAUUUUGGGGAUAGAAGUGCAACAUAAGAUCUUUCUUAAAUUCAUCCCAAGUGGUGAGAGAGAACGUACCUUGCUCAAUCUCCAUGCUCCGAUGACGCCACCACAUAAGGGCAUUGUCAGCUAAGAACAUGGUUGCCGUUGAGAUUUUGGACUCGUCAUCUUCAAGCUUCAGGUACUUGAAGUAUCGCUCUACGUUCCACACGAAUGUGUCGAGCUCCUUUGCUUCCCUCUUCCCAUUAUAGGAUUUGGGUUUAAAGAAGUCGAUUACCUUGGAGUCCAAUGCCUUGAUUUCCCUCGGCCCUUGCACGAAUUGCUUCACGACUGCUUCUUUACAAAACGCCACAUCUCCCUUAAGUUCCCUUGUGUCCUUUAUCUCUUCUUGAAGCGCCACAAACCUUGCCUCUAUGUUGUCAAGGUGAACCUGGACUUCCCUCCGCAUCUUGUCUGCCAUGGUGUUGAGAGCGCCAAGGAGCUCAUCUCGUAGCCCUUCCACCAAGCCACGCAGUUCAUCCUUUCCAUUGUCCACCAUGGUUUGGAUUUCCUCCUUGUCGACAACGUCCUCAUCAAGUCGAGUAUCGAACUCGAGUAUGGUUCGUUCCACCUUCUCGAGUCGCUCUUCCAUGGUCUCCAUCGAUGCUUGCAAGUCCUUUAACUUUGGCUUGCUCUUGGCAACGUCUUGGACCUCGGCAGUACGCUCCCUUAGGUCGGAGACUCCGGACACCAUCUCUCCACUUGCCAUAUCCUACUUUCCUUCAAGUGAUUCACGAGCUUGGCUCUGAUACCAGCUGUCACGGGAUGACUCUUUAAGCCUUCCGCCCGUGCGGCACUUAGACUUGAAUACCUUGAUGAACAAGCUAAGUAAGCCUUCGAAGCCUCGCUUCCCCGGAUCGAAUCACAAAGAAAGCUAAGAUAGCUUGGAGAAUGCUAAGAUCACUUAGAAGAUGGGAGAAAGGAAGCUUUGUAUUGAAAAGUUAAGAGAACUUUACAAUUGCUUACAAUUCUUGGGAUGGUUUGGCCAAAUGGCCUUACCUCCUAUUUAUAGGCCUAAGUCACCUCCUCAAUGGAGGGUUCUAGAAUCCCCUACUUACAUCCAAAAAUAUCUAGCAUAGCUCUAGAUACAACUUGCCUAAUCUAGAUUAUUCUAGGUGAGGCUUAAAUAUGUACACUUGUGUGGAAUGUUCCGGAAUGCCCUAAGAUUAUCUUGAAUGCUCCGCCACGUUCUUGAUUUCUCCGGGACGUUCCAGAAGCUUCCAUGAAGACAUGGCUUCAUGGGCUUAGAUAUAUGAUGUCUUGGGCAUUUUCUUUGUUUUUAACACAUGGCCCGUGACACUAGGAAGUUGAGUGCAGAAUUUUACCUUUUGGUUGCUUACACAUAUGGAGAAGGUCAUUUUAUAGUUAAGUUUCAAAUGUGUGUUGUUUGGCUUUAUAGUUACGCGACACCUGAGACUAUGAAGGUUUAGGGGAACAUGGAUUACUUAUAAGAUAGUAGUUUUGCGUUCCUUAUCUUUCUUGAGCUUCCUUACCCAUGUAUGCUUGUAUCCUUUUGUAUCCUACUACUACAUAUGUUUAAUCUCCUUUGCAUUUUUGCUUUAAUUAGCCAAUGAUCAUGUCUUCUUGUAUCCUUCUUAUGUCCUUACAUGUAUAAUGUCAUGCUCCAGUUACUUAAUUAUUUGCCACUAUCGAAUAAUGUUAUUUUAUAUUUUCACUGGACAUGGAUGAAAGAAAGAUUAUGGUAUGCUUUAUUGUUAAGUUGUGGUACUUGAAUAUUAUGAAUUGGUUGAUGAUGUGGUUCAUGAUGAAUCAUAAUUCAGCUAGAAGGCGGAAUCGACAUCUUGCACUUAGAAAUUACACAUUUGUUAGGAGAAUGGUAGGGUCAGCCUAUUUAGACAGCAUGAUAGGAUAUGAUGAUGUUCAUUGUGCGAACCAAAUUAGAAUGGAUAGAAGAACGUUCCAUUAUUUAUGUCAAAUGCUCCGUGAUCACGGUAGAAUAAAAUUGGAUGGUGUAGUGACAAUGGAAGAACAAGUUUGAAUAUUUUUGCAUAUAUUUGCACAUCAUGUAAAGAAUUGUACAAUUGGGAGUAGGUUUUGUCGAUCGGGCGAGACCAUAAGUAGGUAUUUCAAUUCCAUUUUACAUAGAGUGUUAACGCUACAAGGUAGACUUUUGAAAGUGUCAGAACCCAUUCCUAAUGCCUACCCAGAUCCUAAAUGGAGUUGGUUUGAGGUAUUCUUCAUAUUUUAUAAAAAUUACUUCUAGAAUUAAUGUAAUUAAAUAUAUUAAGCUUACUAAUGUUAAUGACUUUUUUUAGAAUUGCUUGGGGGCAUUGUAUGGGACUUACAUUAACAUUCAUAUCCCUAAGUGAGAUAAACUAAGAUACUAUCAAGGAAGGGAGAGAUUGCAACCAAUAUGUUGGGAGUUUGUAAUAUGGACAUGAAAUUUAUAUUUGUGUACCCAGGUUGGGAAGGGUCAGCCUUUGAUCCUAGAGUACUCCGAGAUGCGAUAAGUAGACCAUCGGGAUUAAAAGUUCCCAUGGGUAACAAUAGAUUAUUUGUUUAUAUUAGUAAUUUGAAUCCUCAAUUUUCUUAUAUAUUGUAAUAUACAUUUUUUUGGUGUGUUAGGGUGUUACUACCUUAUGGAUGGUGGGUACACAAAUGGUCCAGGAUACCUUGCACUGUAUAGGGGAGUGCGUUACCAUCUCUUGGAGUGGAGAAAUAGAAGACUCCCAAUUAAUCAUGAGGAGUAUUUCAAUAUGAAACAUGCUGCAGCUAGAAAUGUCAUUGAGAGAUGUUUUGGACUACUUAAGAUGUGUUGGAGCAUCUGAAGAGGUCCAUCAUUUUUCCCAAUUAAAACAUAACUUGGAUUAUGACAGCCUGCUAUCUAUUACAUAAUCUUAUUAGAAGACAUAAGUCAUUUGAUCCAAUAGAAAAUGAAAUCCUAAACUUGGAUGAAUCUGAAAGUGAUGAUGAUGAUGAAGAUAUGAUUGAGACUUUUCAACCUACAUAAGAAUGGACUGCAUAGAGAAACACUUUGGCUUUGAAUAUUGAUGAGUCGAUGUUUUACUAUAUAUUUUACCCUAUUCUUAGUAUUAAUUUAUUUGUUAUUUUGGUAGAAUUUUGAUACUUUAAUUUAUAUUCUUAAUGUAGGACAUUCGACUUCCUCUGGAGCAAAAAGUGAUCAAACGGAUGAAUUUUGGAGUGAUUCCAAUUGGAGAUGUUCGUGUGCCUUUCAAGAUGAUUGUGUCAAAAUUCCAAAUUUUUCUACCAAGCCAUUUGACCGUGGUGAUGAAAUUAAGGCCCAGCGCGCAGCUUUCCCAGAUUGCGUUUAUGGACGUUUUGAGUAUUUUGGAGGUCAACAUGGCAUAUUUUAAGGAAGACUCCUUCUGAGGAUCUGUAGGGAACAUCUUCAGCUUUCAAAAGACCUUUUCAGACCAAAUCGAAGUUGAUUUAGUCAGUCAAAAGUAUGAUUUUCUGAGAAGUCCGAAUUUUAGUUCAAAUUGGAAACCUUUUAUUUUGUGUUUUAUUAUUUUAUUAUGUUUCCUAGUUUUAUUCUAAAACCUUUUAGGGUUUUAUUUUGAAGUAAUAUAAAUAAGAUAUUUAGCCAUUAGGGUUAAGAUGAGAAGAGUGGAGGGAAUGCACGCACUACUUUAGAGGGUUUUUGAAGUUUAUUUUCAAGGUGUUUUCUAUCAUUGUUUUUAAUAAUAUUUUGUUUAUGGUUGUUAGUAACUAAUUCUUAAUUGCUAGGGCGAGGCCACGAGCUUUAGUAAGAAUAUGUAGUUUCUUUUCAAUUUACUUAUGAUAUUAUGCAUGCAUGUUUUGAAUUAUUAAUCACCAUUUUAACUAUCUAAGUUUCUUAGUGAUUCGUGACCAUUAGGAUAUUUAGAAAAGUAAUUUGAUGCAAUUUUGGUCGUAAGGUUUCCUGAAAUUGACGUUGGUUUCUUGUGGUUAAUAAUUGUAAUUUCACUUAGGAUGAACACCACGUCUUAAGGGUUGCAUGGUUUUUCAAAGGGUUUUCAUAAAGCAUAAUGAGUCUUUCAUGUUCAUAUUUGAUCCGAACGUCCAUACAGGUUGAAUGUUAGAUAUACGUUCUAUGUUGGAGGUUCCAAGUAGGAUAUAUAUUAGGAAAAACUAACCUUCAAACAUAUGCAUGGGUAAUUCAUAUGUACUUGAAAGAACUACAUAUGAUUGUUAAGAUGACGGCAGAACCCUAGGCUUUUACAAUUUUAAUUUUCAAAAACUGUUUUCUUUUAGUUUAUUUUAUUUUGGCACUUUAUUUAAUUAUUUUCUAUUAAAUUCGUUUUUAUUAUUUUAAAUCAUAAAAUCAACUUUUUCUCAAACUUUGUUUUAAAUAAUUAAUUAAGAUUUUAUUUAACAUAGAUUAUUCAUUCAAUCCCUAUGGAGAUCGACCUUACUAGAGCCAUCCAUACUACAAUUACCUUAUACUCUUGCAAGUAUUUUAAGUGUUUUUAUCCUUACUUUUGCAGUUGGUAAAAUCCCUAUCAAAUAUGUACAAUGAGUGGCAUGCACAAGUGUGAUUUGAUUAAAUUUUCUUAUACAUGCAUGUUGUGAUUUGGUUAUGGUUCGUUAUUUGAACAAAUAGUGAUUUCUUAUGUAUUGUGGGACAAAGUGUGAUUCGGUUAUGAUACUUUCUUCGAACCUGGUUAUGUAUUUAUUUAAAAAGUGUGAUUGUUUGCUUAUGGUUUUUUUAUCACUUACCAUUAACUUUAUGCACUAUUGAUUAUAUGGUAUCUUAUUGUUUAUGUAAUUAUAGGAAUGGAAAGUGAACAAAGUAAUCAACCAAAAGGAAGAUUUGUCAAUUUUUUUUUUCUUCCCUUUUAUUGUCCAGUUCAGUACCAAACACAAUAUAAAUAAUACGGUCAAUAGUCCGAUACUGCAACAAACGCUCGACUAAUUUAGUUAAUACUAUCCGGUGACUAUUUAUCCUAUCCAACAUAAAUAGUCAAUAGAGUCUAAGCUGCCAAACGAUGUCUCAUUAAAGGCAAUCUUUGUUUGUGCCAAACACUGGCUAGGACUCCUAUCUAAGGCAAUCCAGUCCAAUAAGACUUAAAGAGGCCAAACAAACGUGUCCUUAGAUUUUAAACAAAAAAAAAUUCGACGUUCUUUCUUAUAAGCAAAAGUGCUUUUCUAAGUAGUCAACAUCAAACGGACAACACACUACUAGAAUAAUUAACACCACCCCAUUUCCACCCCUAUUUUAAUAUAGUUAUCCACAUUUUUAUAUGGUCACUACAUCACGUCAUGCCAUAAGAUUAUAGUAUACAAGCCAAGAUUCUGGACAUUCACCAAUAAAUCUUGAAAGAGAAGAUUGCACAGGUUGUAUAUGUGAUCUCAUUCUCCACACAUUGCAACUGAAAAUCAUUAUUUUGCAUAUAUAUAUAUAUAUAUAUAUGUGAUCUCAUUCUCCACACAUUGCAACUGCAUAUCAUUAUUUUGCAUAUAUAUAUAUGGAAUUGCUUAAGGGGAGGGAUCCCCAUUUUUUCAAAAAAAUGGGGACACGCUCCACACCGUUGGAUUUGAAUUAAAUGAAAUCCUGUGGUUGAGAUUCUAUGGCCUGUGUUUUAAUCUCAACCACACAAUUUCAUUAAAGUCAAUCUAACGGUGGGGAGCGUGUUCCCAUUUUUUUUGAAAAAAUGGGGAUCCCUCCCCUUAAGCUCCCUGUAUAUAUAUAUAUAUAUAUAUAUAUAUAUAUAUAUAUGCAGUAUUUAUCUUAGACCAUUCUUUGCAUAUAUAAUUAUCGAUCAUAUUCGUGAAUGGCAUUAUUAUGAUCGUGCUGGUUGAAGAUCAAAUCAAAGACCAAUUUAACAUGACACCACCACGAAAUGGCAAAAUCUACAACACCUAAGCCUUUGAUGUUGCUCGAAACCAAUUUUGUAUACAGGUUUGAUAUUAUAUUAUUAUUUUUCUCUUUCUGUGUUUGCAUUCAAGUUCAAAGGGGAAAAUAAUACCACGUCGAAGGCUGACAGCGUGACAGAAGCAGCUUUGUUUUAAUGCCCCUUCAAAACUAGGGUUUUAGCUAGGCGAAAGCGGUACGCAGGGUUUUGCUUUUGCUUAGGAUUUGGAGUACUUUCGAUGGCUGCUUUGAAGCUACAAAUUCAAUUGGGAAAGGAAAGUGACUUGAAGAUUGAAUUUCAAUGGUGGGAUUGGAUUGGACUGUGAUGCAGGCAAUGACUUCAUCCACGACAGAGACAAUGGAGUGGUUUCUGUCUGUGAUGAAGGUGAGUAGCUGUAAAAACAAUAUUAGAGAUACACACAGUUGACGAUUAUAAUGUUUAAAAUUAUUUCUAAAAUAUACAUGGCCGGUCCAAAAAUUAAUAUUUAAAAAUUAUUUCUAAAAUGUACGUCGCUGGUCCAAAAAUAUACUUUAGAAAAUUAAUAAAUAUCCCCUUGCAAUUUUUUUAUUAAAAUACUCUUAGCUAAUUUUUUUUUUAUUAUAAGGACAGUUCUUUUAUUAUUAAGAAUAUUUUAUUUUGAAUUAAAAAACUCUCAUAAUUUAGUUAAGCGUGACUCCAUUUUUAUCUUUUUAAUACACAAAAAUGUCCUUAAUAAUAAGAAAAGAUGUCUAUCUAAGUGUUUAUUCAUAUAAAAAAUAUUGUGAGAGACUUAAAUAGUUCUCUCUUUUUACCCCGGAUAUUCCAAAAUUCUGAUUUCCCGCUGGUAAUUGACAUGAAUUAACGAUUGAAGCCCAAGCUUCCUAUACAGCAAAAGAGUUUCAUAUUAUUAUUAGUGGAAUAAAUUUACUUGCCAUGUUGUCCAAAUCAACUCGUAUAAGGGAAAAAGAUUGUUAAGUUGUCAAUUUUACAGUUAAUCUAGAAAAGUUUUUGACUGUCAUACUCAUAAAUGCUUAUCCUCUAUAAAUAUAUAUAAUAAUAAAAGCGUUAGAUUACUGACAUAAAAAUUGAUUUUUUUGAUCAUAUAGCUAAAGAAAUAAUACUUGUAUGAAACUUAUAAGACAAUGACAAAGAAACGCUCAAGUGAUAAAAAUAAGUGUUAAUCUCAGUUUACUACCAUGAAGUUUCUUGAUUUUCAACAUUUGAUACAUCAUGUUUUUUUCAUCUCAGAGUGGUAUUUAAAGUCAUAAUUUUUGGACACUUUCAUAUCUCCGUUAAGGUUGCUGUUAAAUCAACUGUUAAGGUUGCUGUUAAAUCAACCGUUAAUUGGUGACGUGGUGCUCACAUGAACAAUGAUUGGGCGUCACGUGUGUAAUAUAGGGCCCACGUGGAUUAAAAAAUAAAAAAUAAUUAAAAAAAUAUUUCGUCUCCUACCUUAUCCCGUCCCCCGACCCUCCCUCCCUCCCUCCCUCCCUCCCUCCCUCCCUUUUCUCCUCUAUACCCACCCAAUCCUCCUCUCACUCCCUGCAAAUCCACCAUUCCCCCUUCAUCUUUAGCCGUGCGCCGCCAGAUCUGCGGCGAGAUCGAAGUUGUGGCACUCCUGCGCCGACGACGACGUCGAUUUCUCCUCCGUUUCGAUCAGGAUCCUGUCGCUAGUUCUUUGCGGAGUGGCUGCCAUCAAGUUCAUGGUGGGCCUAGAAAUUGACAAGUUGUUCGCCAGGAGGAUGAACUCAAUCGAGAACACCUAGGCAUGUGCCGGAGAAGAAGACGGUACAGAUGUAGAUGGGUUGAAAAAUUAGGAAGAGCUGACGUCUUUUGCCAUGGUGGGGCUCGAAGGUUCGAGCUCACGGGGCUGUCGGAGAGGAAAUGAGGGUUGGGUGGGUGCAGAGAAGAGAAUGGAUGGACUGUCGGGGGAAGGGUGGGGGGAGGUAGAAGACGACCUUUUUCUUUUUAAAAAAAAUUAUUAUUUUAUUAUUAUUUAAAAAAAUUAAUCCACAUGGGCCCUAUAUUGACACAUGGCACCCAAUCAUUCUCCAUGUGGGUGUUACGUCAUUAGUUAACGGUUGAUUUAAUAGCAACUUUAAUGGAGGUAUGAGAGUGUCCUAAAAUUAUGACUUUAGGUACCAUUCUGGGAUGAAAAAAAACAUAAUGUAUCAAAUGUUAAAAAUCAAGAAACUUCAAGGUAAUAAACUGAGAUUAACCCUAAAAAUAAAGAACCAAGCUUUAAAGAAAAAACAUUUAAAAGUAAGUUACUACUUUCCAUUUAUCAACUUUUAUAAAGAUUGUCUUCUACAUGUUAAGGAUGCAACUUGGGUUGGGUACGUAAACUCGAAUCCGUCCAUGCCUAACUUGAUUUCAAACCCAACCGAGCGGAAUAGAAUAAAGAGAAAACCCAUCCAAAUCCAACCCAACCUCAACCUGAUCAUUUAUUGUGUUGGGUUAGAUUGAUGCAUUGCCGCUGAUGUUAAACCACAAUCUGAUUUUGAGCCCGAGUUUGAUCAUGCACAUAUUGCCGGUCCAACUUUAUACAUUGAUAAGGAAUGAAUAUACAUGAAGUUCUUGUUAGUUUUCAUAUGGAUAAUGAAUGAUAGUGUUACUUUUAAAUUUCUUUUGGUUGAAGCCUUAUUAUAUGUGUUGUAAUGUAAAUUCAAUUUUGCAUAGUUGAAACAUUAGAAAUGACCUCCAAGUUGUUUGCUUUCACUUUUGUGUGGAUGAUGAUGUGUAAAUUGAAUAUUUCUAACUAAGAUAGACAUUAUUUUGUUCAAAAUUUGAAAAAUUAUGCAAAAUAAGUUGUUAGAAGAUUGAACUCGAUAAAGUUGGGUGAACCUAAAUCCAACCAAAGUAAGCCUGAACCUAAUUAAAACCAAAACCCGACUAAACUUGCAUGAAUCCGAACCAAACCCAAGCCCAAAUUAUGAAGAUCGAGUUAGGGUUGGGUUGACCAUCCAACAUGUCCAACCGGGCCAAGUUGCACCCUAAUGCAUGUACAUGGGUUGGUGUCGUACAUAUUAUUCAUAUAUAUAUAUAUUUUGUGUUCAUGCAUAUGUCGAUAAUUUGUAACUUGAAAUUAAGAAGAAUAUUUGGCUGUACCUAAUGGGACGAGGAUCCUUUCCGGAUCCUCUUUGUGGGGAUCCAAAAAUCAAUCAAUCGUGUUUGUUCAUUGUACAUUGUGAGGUCAGUUUUCGUUAAGUACUAUUUAUAUUUAAUUUUAAAUAAAAAAAUUCAAAAUAAUUUCUAGCUGCACAACGUAUAAUGAACGAAUAUGAUUGAUUGAUCAUCGGGAUCUCCACAAGGAGGAUCUGGAGAGGAUCAUAUUCCCACCUAAUGUGCACCUUCUUAUCCAUUCAGUGUGAUUAACAAUGUUUCAAUACAUUGCAUAAUCAGAACAGUAUACUAUUUUAAUCACUAAUUUUGUUUCCAAUUAAGAUAAUUAAUUUGAUGUGAUAUAUACACACGUAUAUACACUGCGAAAGGUCACAAGGUGUGAUAAUGCAGUUAACAGAAUACUGUUUAACUUGUUACAAUUAAAAAGUUAUUUUUUUACUGUAAAUAACGUAGACACAUAAUGUAAAAUCAAAUAAAAGAGAACUAAAGCACAGUAAUUUUGUACCCUUUUCAGAAGAAGAGACCAAGGUGUGAUUUGUAAAAUAAUUCUUACAUAUAUCUAUAUUAAGGAAGUACGGAAAACGUCUAGAAUAAAGCUAAAGAGACAAUUUAUUUAAAUUAUAUUUUAUAAAUUAUUGAUAAUUAAAUUAUUAUUUAAAUAUUAAUUAACAUUCAUAUUUUUUAUUAAUGACACAACACAUUAUUUGAAAGUGGGCUCUAAAAAAUUGUUCAGCUAACAUUACUCAUCAAAGUUAUAUCAUGUCAAAGAUUGGACAACCCAACCGUAUUUAGACAGAGAUUUUGAUCUUGGGUCUAACCUUUUGUUUUAUGAAUAAAUAAUAAUUUGGCGUAGACAACAAGCUAAACACCCAAUCAGAUUUGAUCAAACACAUCAAAAGAAAAAAAAAAAAGUAAUUAGAUGAAGACAGCAACACAAAACCGACUGCUAAGAGAAAACCGGUGCUGAUCAUGGCCAUCAGUAUUUGAACAAAAAUUCAAACGUUUUAAAUACAAAGCCGAACAAUAAAUUAAUCAUGUUCAGAAAGCUCCAAGAAAUCACUUAUCUUGUUCCGAAAAUAAAAUAAUAAUUAAUAAACUUAUUUUUUUUAAGUAAUUAAUAAACUUAGUAAAAUAAACCAUAAUUACGAAGUUUGGUAUGAUGUUAAUCAAAAGAUGAUAAUACCGUGGGUUUGGAUAGAGCUUUCAAGGUCGUCGUGCUGGUUUGCGUUGAAGUCUCUUGGCUUCAAGAGCUGGACUCCAAAUUCCCUAUUCUAUUUACGCCACGUCACCAUUUCCAUAUCCCAUUCCUACACAGCCUUUUAAAUUAAAACCCUCACCACCUUCAGCCCAAAUCAAACCUGAAACUUCCCAAAAAACCAAGAACAAAAAAAGGAAAUUUAUUAGCCUUCGUUUUUCUCCCUUUUGGAAACCAAAAACUGCAAAAGUAAAUGGAGGGUUUGAUUCCUUUUGUGUACAAGGCCAUAGUGGAAUACAAGAAUGGAAGACAAGGAGGUGGUCAUCAUGUGUUGAACUCGUGGUUCAGCGACUCGCCUUCAGCUUCCUAUAUCCGAUUGCCUGGCGACUCAGGCCGGUUCCAAGCAUCUGAUUUCCAGCUGUUUUCUGGGACUUCGCCAGCUUCUUCAACUGCCCAAAUGAUGAUAUCAUCUGGAGUUCAAUCCCCACUUCGUCAUCGAGUUGCUAGUAACUAAUGGUACGACUUAUGAAAGUACGAACUAAUUAGGACGUACGUGGCAUGCAUGGCUGAAGAAAGCUGAAGGUGUGCAAACUUGUCAAAUUAUAUGGUGGUGGUGAGCUGCUGCGUUAAGUAGAAUUUGUGUAUGAUAGCCUUUAUUUUCGUUCAAUCUUUAUUUUCUUUGUUUUAUGGGUUUAAUUUAGUUGAACUUCGAAGCAAAUAAGCGUGUGAAAACCAAAGGGGCCAUGCGCUGUUUGCUUUGUUGUUCUUCUUCUUGUUAAGAUUUGUGUGAAAAUGGCUCAAAUCUCAAAUGUAAAUGGUGAUUGUAAUGUUUAAGAAAAGUCUACGUGUUUCUGGCCCAAGGGCUAUGUUAUGUCAACAGUUAAUUGGUCGACAGUUGUUUGUAAUUAUCUCUUCAUUAUUUCAUCUUCCCUUUGUAUUUUUCCUUUGUUUGACUUCCCUUACAUCUUGGAUCAUCUGAGCUUUUGAUGGGGUCAGACUUAAAAAACUAAGCGAAGUGUUUUUUUUUUGUUGGAUUUUUAUACUAUUUUGUUUCACUUUCAACUUUUAUUUUUUAUUUUUUAUUUUUUAUUUUUGAGAACUCACUCUCAACUGUAAGUAUAUUCAAUCUAAAUAUAAACUUUUUUUUUUGAGCAAAAUAUAAAUAUAAAUUUUAAAGAUUAAUAAAAGUCAUCUUAUAUAUUAAAUAUUGUUGCAGUCAUAUUUAGAACAGAAUGUGAUUGUGUAAAUCCUAGGAGAUAUGGGAAAAUAUCUUAUAUUCCUAUUAAGAGUAAAUUACCUAUUAAAUGUUGUAACCUAAUGGGAAAGGUUUUUAUCUAUACUACUACUAUAAAUAAAGGCACAAUGGGGUGAAUCAAACACACCUCACAAUUAAAUCAAUCUCUCUUCUCUGUAAUUGUGGCCGGUCCCCUCUCUCUCUCUAAACUCUAGAUCGUUUAAUCAAAUAGGCCUACAACACGUUAUCAGCACGCUCUUGCUAGAAGCUGAGGAAUUGACGCAUCAUAGGAGGAGGCUAUCAUCCACCAAAUUCAAAGACUUAUUCGUUUUCUGUUAAUCAGGUACGCUUAAAAUAAAAGAAGAUAUUUGAAAUGUCCACGAAGCAUGAAAACAUUCCCCAUGAUGCAUGAACCCCACUAUGUUUAUAUUUUCCUUUCGAUAUAUAUUGUAUAUGUUUAUAUAUUUGUCAAUAUAUAUAUAUAUAUAUAUAUUUGUUUCAUGCAUCGCACAAUUAAAUUGUUAUGGGAAUUUGUGAGUCAAUGUAUAACAUUAAAUUAGAAGCAUAUUUAGGGUUUCCUAAACCAUAAGGGAUUUUGAAAAAAAAAAAAAGGAACUGGACAUGGUGCGGCACACCACCGCACCAUCACUGUGGAAAUAGCCACCAAGCCUCGGCCUGGACCUCACCUCGGCAGGGCCUAAGCCCUAUGCCCAUCCCGCUGCCUUGGCCCGCAACCAUGACAUUAGCCCUUUACGGCUGGGCUUUGUCCACACGUGCCUAAACCAAAGCCAGCCUUUUGCGGUGAGCUUUGCGUGCACCCUCAGCCUGUUUCUCGAGCCUAAUUUGAUGGGUUUGAAGCAUGUUGUUGUCCCCCUCAUUCAGCCCAGACUAAAACCCAACUGCGGCUGGGGGAUCUCUUCCACCCCGUGGCCUGCAGCCAUCACCCGAGGUCAUUUUGGGCAUUGCCUUUUAUUCAAGGCACCCAACUCGAGCCCAAUUCCUUUUUCGGCAAUAUUUUUCAACCCAAUGCUAUUAUUUUAGCAUUCUCAAUAAUUUUAACCUGUAUAUUAAUAUUAUUUUUCUUCUACAAUCGACCCCAUAUGACCCAAUUUAUUGAAUUAAUUAAAAGUGACAUGCAGUCCAUUAGUCUGAUAAUGAAUCUAAAAUUAUUAACCUGUAGAUCACUUUUGGACAUUAACGAUUCAAUAAUUUAUUUUUAUACUUUGAACCGUCACAUACUUUCGUAGUAACGAAGUUCUCACACUUGAGUUCCUGAAGAACCUCAAAUCCACUAUAUUCAAAUUAGUAUAUUGCAUUCUGUGUUUCUUGCAGGAACCUCUCAUUAUGAACUAAUUGUUCAUAAAACUAAAUUGAACUUGUAGUUUCAAAUUUAGUGCCUUUGAAACCCGAAGUUUUCAUUCAUAACAUACCAUAUGAAACUUGUAGUUUUUAUGCAUAAAGUAAACCAAUACAUGUCUAUAGAACCUGUAUGUUCUAUAAUAUAUGUCUAUGGCUUACCAUAUGACUACUCACGUUUUCCCCUCUGUUUUAAGGACAUGUUGAACUUGAAUAAGCUUAAUUUCUCCGCUCUAGAAGUCUCCGGAAGAAACUAUCUGAAAUGGAUUCAAGAUGUGAAGCUCUAUCUCACUGCAAAGGGCAUUAAAGCCACCAUCGAGGCACCUAUCGCCGACAAACCUGUUGACAAAGGUCAGAAGGCUACUGCAAUGUUCUUAAUUCGAAGACACAUCCAUGAUGCAUUGCAUACUGAGUAUGGCACUGAGGAGGACCCAUGCAUCCUCUAGCUUGCUCUGGCUGAUCGUUUUGAUCACCAUAAAGACAUAUACAUGCCUGAAGCAAGACACGACUGGCAGCAUCUUCGCUUCCAAGACUUUAAGUUCAUGAAUAAAUACAACUCCGAAGUUUGUAGAAUUCGUUCUUUGUUGAAAUUCUGCAAAGUGGAACUCACCGAAUCAGAUCUGCUAGAGAAGACCUAUUCGACCUUCCAUGCCACCAAAAUUGUCCUGCAGCAACAAUAUAGGGCACAAAAAUUCACCAAGUUUUCGAAUUUGAUCUCUGUUUUACUUCUCGCUAGAAAGUAGAACCAGCUUUUGAUGAAGAAUCAUCAAGCUCGACCCAUUGGCUCAAACGCUGCACCUGAAGUGCAUGUGAUUUAUUCUAGUAGCCAUAAACGACGAAAGAAUCGUCGUGGCCAUGGCAAUGGGCGGCAAGCCCAACCACGGGCUUAAGGUCAACAGAGUGCCACACCUAAGGGAAGAAAUGUGACCCAGCAUCAUCCAUCACUUACCCCUAAGGCCCCAAACUUCAAGAACAAGGGCAAAGGUUUCGUUCAACCCGCUUCUACUGAACUGGACAUGUGAUAUCGUUGUGGAUCAAAGGAUCAUUGGUCAUACACAUGUAGAGCUUCCUCUGAGGCUAUUGCCAAGUAUCAUUCCCAUCGCGAGUCUAACUUUGCAAAUUUGGAUCAUCUGGAAGAUGCAACUACAUCAAUGGAAGUAUCGGAUUUUCAAGAAGCGUCAACACUUAUGCUUUUAAUGAUCUAGCAAAGGCAACAAGAUCACAUAUACCUGCUGCAAACACAUCUGCAAGGAUAGAUGUACCCUGUGUACGUCAACAACCCGCCUGGGAAGGCCGGACCGUCCCCUAAGGUGGAGAGGCCGCACCCUCCAUGCGGUAAGGUACAUUAACGGCUAGCCAAUCACCUACUACAACCCUGAAGCGUGGCAGACCCUUUGGUUCAAAGGAUUCACAACCCCAGAAGAGGAAAAUGGCACCAACUAGUGACCCUAGUUUGAAUCCGACCAUCACUCACUCAUUAGUUUCAACGCAUGAGGUUAUUCUAGGUUACAGUGAUUCUUUAGACGAAACAUGCCGGCAUCCCGAGAAUCGUGAGAUUUCGGUCCACUACAUAGUAUUAUAUGAAGUUUGGAAUAUGAAUGAGAUGAUCAUCGAUGAUGCAUUCUCGUACUCAGUAGCUACUGACAUCAUGCUUAGUGAUGGCAUUGAACCACGUUUCAUCGAUGAAUGCCGACGUAGAACUGAUUGGUCAAACUGGAAACAAGCAAUGCAAGUCGAACUCGAUUCACUAGCGAAACAUAAGGUAUUUAGACCUAUCGUUCCUACACCACCACGCGUGAAGCCUAUUGGUGACAAGUGAGUUUUCGUGAGGAAGCGUAAUGAGAAAAAUGAAAUAGUGCGAUAUAAAGCACGCCUCGUAGCACAAGGUUUCUCUCUGCGCCCUAGGAUUGAUUACGAGGAAACGUAUUCCCCCGUAAUGGAAAUUAUAACGUUCCGUUACCAAAUCAGUUUGGUAGUUUCUGAAAAACUGAAUAUGCAGCUUAUGGACGUGGUAACCACAUAUCUCUAUAGGGAUCUAGAUACAUAAAUAUACAUGAAAGUUCCAGAAGGACUUCCAUUGACUGGCUCAAAUAGUUCUAGACCACGGAACACUCGCUCAAUUAGGUUGAGGAGGUCACCUUACGGAUUGAAAUAAUCCGGGCAGAUAUGGUAUAACCGUCUGAGUGAAUAUUUGACAAGUUAGGGUUAUAUGAACAACGAACUAUGCCCAUGCGUGUUCAUAAAGAAGUCACAUUUUGGAUUUGCAAUCGUUGCAGUUUAUGUCGAUGACAUGAAUCUCAUUGGGACUCCCGCAGACGUUGAGGAAAUUGCUGCACACUUGAAAUCGAAAUUUGAGAUGAAGGAUCUUGGGAAAACUCGAUAUUGCCUCGGCCUGAAGAUCGACCAUUGUUCGGAUGGAAUCCUAGUACAUCAAUCGAACUACACCCAAAAGGUGUUGCGUCAUUUUAAUAAGGAUAAAGUGAAGCCUUCGAGUACACCCAUGGUCGUUCGAACUGUAAAUGCUAAACGAGAUCCUUUCCGUCCAAAGGAAGAUGAGGAAGAGAUUUUUGAACCUGAAGCUCCUUACCUAUAUGCAAUUAUUGUACAUGGCUCAGUGCACUAGACCUGACAUUUCCUUCGCUGUGAAUCUAUUGGCUAGAUACAUCAAUGCGCCCACACGCAGGCACUGGAAUGGUGUUAAAGACAUUUUCCGCUACCUUAAGGGUACUACGAAUUUGGGCUUGUUCUAUACUCAUGAAUCUCUACGUGUUACCGCCCCCUAUGGUACUUAGAUUGAUUCUCGCCUUGUUGGUUACGCAGAUGCUGGAUAUCUGUCUGACCCAUAUAGAGAACGUUUUCAAAUGGGUUAUGUCUUUACCGUUGAAAACACCGCUAUAUCUUGGAGGUCUACUAAGAAAACGCUAGUUGCGACUUUGUCUAACCAUGUUAAGAUUCUCGCCCUACAUGAAGCAUCGCGUAAGUGCUUUUGGCUAAGAGAAGUUAUGAGACACAUUCGAAGCACUAUUGGUCUUACAUCAGUCGUUAACCUUCAUACGACGAUCUUUGAAGACAAUGCAGCAUGUAUCGAGCAGUUGAAGAAGGGAUACAUUAAAGGAGACAACACCAAGCACAUAGCGCUAAAGUUUUUUUACUCACACCAGUAGCAACAACAUCAGUACAUUGAAGUCAAGCAAAUUCGGUCCUAGGACAACCUAGCCGAUCUUUUCACCAAGUCGUUGCCCAAGUCUACAUAUUAGAAGCUCGUCCAAGGAAUUGGUAUGUGUAAAUUAUCUUAGUUGAAUCGCUUGUAGUUCUUUUAUUUAGAAGAUAUGUCUGUGUCAGGGGGAGUAUCAAGAAGCAUACUCACAUGAUAUUAAUGUACUCUUUUUCCUACGAUUAGGAGCAUUUCUCCCACUGGGUUUUUGCUACCUAAUGAGGUUUUAAUGAGGCACCCAUCCUGGGAUGAUCAUACUCCGAUGAGUUCACUACCUUCGUCCAGUUUGACGUUCGUUUUAGAUAUUAUGCAUACUUCUCACUUUUCUCCUUAGUUUAUGGGUUUUCCCCAUGCCUUGGGUUUUACCAUAGCGAGGUUUUGUGAGUUUUACUACAAAUGCAUACUUCACUUAAAUUUGAGACUUGUGAUCACCCAUUGUGCCGAUGACUUCAUUAACUAUUCUACCUUAUAUGUUGAUGAUCUGAUACGAUGGUUUGUUGAGUAUUUACACUCAAGGGGGAAUGUUGCAGUCAUAUUUAGAAUUGGAAUGUGAUUGUGUAAAUCCUAGGAAAUAUGGGAAAGUAUCUUAUAUUCCUAUUAGAAGUAGAUUACCUAUUAAAUGUUGUAAUUCUAAAGGGAAAUGUUUUUACCUAUCAUACUACUAUAAAUAAAGGCACAAUAGGGUGAAUCAAACACACCUCACAAUUAAAUCAAUCUCUUUUCUCUCUAAUUGUGGCCGGCCCCCUCUCUCUCUAAACCCUAGAUCGUUUAAUCAAAUGGGCCUACAACAAAUAUAUACUUUUUAUGACUUUUUACUGACAAGGAAUAUAGGGGUACGGCAAAGUGGUAUUCAAUUAUGAUUGAAGAGUUUACAAAAUUCCAAUAUAUGCAUAUAUCACAUAAUGUAUAUUCACCUUAUAAAUAUAUAAUUGGAAUUGUUUGGUUUCUUAAUCUUUAUUAGAAAAUGACCUCUAAAAAAAAUCAUACAAAUCAUAGAUUAUGUAGUCGUUCAAAUGUUAUCAAAUAAAUUGAAGGUUCAUGAUGAAUAUAUUACUUGAUACUUGCCACCAAUUUUUUCUCCACAUUUGAAUGCAUAUACUUGGUGGUUAGAAUUUUCUAUUAAACCACAUUAGUAUUUCCUUGUCAACAAAGAUUCAACUAGAAAAAUCCACUAAGCCAUCAAUUCAAUUAUGCAUAUUUCUGUACUGACACAAUGGAAAUAUGACCGAUUUGUUUCAUGGGAGCUGCAACAAGUAAAAUAUAAUCAUAUGGCUAAUUCCCUAUAUCUAUGAUCUUUAAUUAUGGAAAGAGAUCCUCACCAAAUUCUGUUAAUCAACAAAUCCAGGAGGAAGGGCCAUUGCCACCAUCACCUCCCUCUUUGUCAUUUCUAAUGAUUGCACCUACACCACCAACCCUAAACACGGGUAAAAAAGCACCAUCAACAUUUAAUUCGUAAGAACCUUCAGCGUGCGAUAUCCAAUGAUAGUUAUUUUUGUCUGGAACAUGUACAGGUCGCUUAUUUACUUGACAAAAUUUCUCCAUUGUCUUUCGAUCGUAUAUUAUUUUUACUAGCAGAAUUUUUCCGAAAACCAGCCUUCAUAAUUAAUAGCAAACAAGAAAGGCCAUUUCAUCGGGUCAUAAGCUUUUGCCAUAACUAGUUUCGUAGCAACCUCUUGGGAGACUCCUCAUUCGUCUUCUUUCCCAUGAACUGCUAGAUUUCAUGAUCGCAUUCCAUCCGAUCAUCUUACUAAUUAACCCUUAACAUGUUGCACGAGUUUAAGUUGAAUCCAGUUUGGGUAAUCCAAGCUGCAACCCUAAACAGGAUUAGAGUAUUUUUUUUUAAUAAGACAAUAAUCUAUCAAGGGUUGAGGAUUUGUAUUAUGUUACACAAUAAGUCAGCCAUAAUAAUUAAAUAUCAAACAUGAGACCUUCAGCUUACAAGUAGAGAUAAUUAUCACUAAAACAUAAUAAUUGUUAUAAACUUCUUAUUUAAGUGUGAUUGUGUAAAUCCUAGAUUAGAUUUGAUUCUAAUUAUUCUUCCCUAUUAGGACUUGUAUUUCUUGGAGGGGAAGAAUUUCUUCUCUCUCUUAUUAAUAUAAAUAAAGGCACUGCAUUGGGGGAAUAACACAUUCUCUACACAACCCUAAAACACAUCUCUCUCUAUAUUCUCUUUGUGCCGCCAGCCCUCUUCCCCUGUCAGUUAAAUAUACACCACAACAGUUAUCAACACGCUUCUACCACUAUGCUUAGGAAUUUGAUGUAGAAGUUUUUUGCAUCAAACUAGUUCACCAAUAUCAUCAUGCAAUCAAGUUCUUUCAAAACAACGGUUUUUAUUUAGAUAUUUUUGCAGCCCUGAUAGCAUGAACAUUCACCAUAAUGCAUGACCCAACUUUACGUUUUUUGAAUUUUAGAUUCUACAUAAAUUGUGUAUGAAUUAUAUCUAUAAUUGUUGAAUUAUGUGAAUUUGAUAUUGCCAUGAAUUGGAUCAAAUAUCUGCUCAUGCAUUAAAUUAUUUUAUAUGAAUAUGCAUUGAAUUAAUCUGGAAUUGAAAAAAGAAAUUUAAAAGAUUUUUGAGGGUUUUGUUGAACACCCAUCCAUGUCGAUGGGUUUCUUUCCUGGAGCCAAGCCACGUCGAGCCACCAGCCCUAGGCAUACAGCCUGAAUGGCUAAGCCGAGUCGCGAGACCAUAGAGCCGGAGCCAUGGGCUCCUGGUUUUUGAAACCCAUAAAAACCCAACGCCUUCAAUGGCGUCUCUACCAUCAUAGGUGAGCCUGCAGCCCAACCAUUGACCUUGGGUCACCGUCCUCGAUAGCUUGAAGCUCGUCCACCGAUGUAGAUUAACUAUGAUUCCUUCGAAUCUCGUUGGAUUUUUUGAAAUUUCGAUUCGAAUUUCUAGGUUUUUGGUUGAAAUGUCGAGAUUUCUCUAUCUCCGUUAAUAUUCGUUAUCCCCAUUGACUUACGAACUUGCCCUGAGAAUUUUUUUCCCAAAACACGGUCUUCUGAAAUGGCGGCGUCGGUCUUUUUCCCCGACAAGCACACCCAACUACGAUUGGGGUGUUUUUGGUCCUAACCUGAGCCCAAUUGGGCCUUGUUUUUCUCAGCCUAAUUUUUUUUUUCUUUUGGGCUUGCCUACAGCAGCCCAAACCAUUAGCUCAGCCCAAGAGUGACACCAACCCAUAGGGCUAUGGUGUCACAUACACUUACGACACACCGGAUCUCAGCCCUUACUGGUACAUCAGUGUCCACAAAACACUCGAUCAGAGCUUGUUUGGGCCUCUGUCUUUGGGCUUGCACCUACAGCCCGUUUUCUGUGAUGCUGGGCCUACCUACAUGCUAGACCCGUGCCUACCCCAGCCCAGUUUUGGGCUUAGACUUCACGACACCAGUUCACUCAGCUUACCCAUGGGCUUUGGUCCAAAUUUUUGGACCCCGAGUUUUAAUUGCCUAUUUUUAGGCACUUUUUGGGUUUUAUAAUUUUUCACCCACACUUUAAAAUUUGGCCCGAAGUCCAAAUAAUUAAUUUUGUUAUAAUUAUAGACUUGAAAUUCUAUUUGCAUAUUUUCUUGUUGCAUAUUUCUGUAUAUAUAUUUAUGUUUGUCUGCGGGAACAUAUGAACCUAAAGUUCAUAAUUAUUUCAAAACUUGAAGUUUCUAGAAACAUGCCUUGUUUGAAAAUCUAAAGUUUUCCUUAAAAACAUCACCCAUGAAAACCCGAAGUUUUUUCAUGUCAAUUUAAACCAAAACAUGUAUAUUAGAACCUGAAUGUUCUACUCUUAUGUGAAUGAAUUGAUUUUUCUUCAUUACACUAACCACAUCUUGUCCAUUUAUUUUGUUAUAAGAACAUGUCCAAUUUGAAUAAACUUGACUUCAUCGCUUUAGAGGUUUCUGGAAGAAACUACCUCAAGUGGGUCCAAGAUGUGAAGCUCCACCUCAUUGCAAAGAAUUUGUGUCCCGCCAUUCAAGAUGAGACGGACAACCCAGUUGGUGAAGUUGAGAAAGCCACUGCCAUGAUCUUCAUCCGAAGAACAUACAUAAUGCACUACAAACUGAGUACCUUGCUGAGGAUGAUCCACGAGCGCUUUGGGUCACUUUAGCUAAUCAUUUUGAUCAGCAAAAGGACAUUUUCUUGCCUGAAGCAAAAGAUGACUGGCAACAUUUGUGCUUCCAAGACUUUAAGUUUGUGAAUGAAUAUAAUUUUGAAGUUUGUCGAAUCUGAUUACUUCUAAAGUUCUGUAACGAGACCUUAAUCGAAGAGGAUCUCCUGGAGAAAACCUAUUCAACAUUCUUUGCUACUAAUAUUGUCCUGCAGCAACAAUAUAGGGCUCAGAAGUUCACUAAGUUUUCCGGUUUGAUCUCUGUUUUACUACUCACUGAAAAGCAGAAUUAGCUGUUGAUGAAAAAUCAUCAAGCUUGACUUACUGAGGUGACUGCUGUGCCUGAAGCAGACUAUAGCACAAAAAUUCCCAAAAUGCCAAAAUAGGCAUGAUAGGGGCGACCACCUCGUCAAGGUCAAUAGAGCCAAGACCCAUCUAAGGGAGGAAAUCGAGCCUAGAAGCACCCUAACCUUACUCUCAAGGCCCAAAACUUCAAAAAUAAGGGCAAAGCACCUGAAACCAUGGAUGCAGACAUGUGCUAUUGCUAUGGUUCCAAGGACCAUUGGUCCAGUGUCUGCUGAGCUCUCCAGAAGGUUGUAGCUGAAUAUCAUUCUCGUCAUAAAAAAUUUGAAUCAAACUUUGUGUAAAUGAAUGAACUGGAGAAUACUAAGAUGGAGGUUUCUGACUUUCAGGAGGAUACCACCCCUAUGGAAGAUUAGAAUCUUAGACAUAAACUAUUUUCUAGUUAAAAUUUAGACAAUGGGGUCGAAUUCCACCUAGUGGCCGAACCCCCCUUGUUUUUGGGUUUAAUUUCGAACAAUUUUCCUUUAUGCUUGGAUUAUUUGUUGGUGAUUUAUUUUGGCCUAAUCGGAUAAAUGGUCCCCGUGGUGAUAAGGUAUUCGGAUGAUAACCCCUGUGGUAAAAAAAUUCGGAUUUAAACCCCUGUGGUCUAAGUCUGUUAGGAUUUAUGCCCUUCUGUUAAAUAAUGUUGACGUGGCUGCCAAAUGUCUGCCACGUGGCAAAAAUAAUAAUUUUUAAUUUUUUUUUAAAACCUGAAUUUUUACAAAAAAAAAAAAAAAAAAAACCCCAGAAACUCCCCCCGCCGGACUUCUUCUCCUUCUUAUUCCCGCCGGAGGCCAGCUCCCCCCCCCGCGCCGCGCGACCCUCCUCCCUCUCCUUCUUCAUUCUUCUUCUUCUUCCCGCCGGUCUCCCCGCGCGACUCCUCUCUCUCCCUCUUCCUUCUUCUUCUUCUUCUUCUUCCCGCCGGAGACCAGCUCCCCCCUCGCCGGAGCCCUCUCCCCGCGCCCUUCUCCCUCUCCCUCUCCCUCUUCCUUCUUCUUCUUCUUGCAGAUCUGGGUUUGUUUUUUUUUUUUUUUUUGUAAAAAUUCAGGUUUUAAAAAAAAAAAUUAAAAAUUAUUAUUUUUGCCACGUGGCAGACAUUUGGCAGCCACGUGGCAUAUAUGUGGCAGCCACAUCAGCAUUAUUUAACAGAAGGGCAUAAAUCCUAACAGACUUAUACCACAGGGGUUUAAAUCCUAACAGACUUAGACCACAGGGGUUUAAAUCCGAAUUUUUUUACCACAGGGGCUAUCAUCCGAAUACCUUAUGACCACGGGGACCAUUUAUCCAAUUAGGCCAUUUAUUUUUGGAUAUUAAGUUUUUAAUUAAUUACUAUCAUUGAAUACUUAAAUUAUUUUGAAUGGAUAUUUGUUUUAGAACUUUUAUGCAUGUGAACGAUUCAAAUUAAUUUUUAUUCUAGGCAUGACUAGUGGAAAAGUUAGUUGUUUGGCAGAUAAUGCAACCACGCACAUCGUUUUGCGUGAAUGAAUCUAUUUGACUAACUUUAUACUUAGGAAUGCACCUUUAACAACCCUCUCAGGCCCAUCCAACCUGAUCGAAGGAUACGGUAAGGCACAUAUAAUAUUGUCCAAUGGUACAAUCUUGACUAUUGAUCAGGCACUUUAUUCUCCACGUUUUGGAAGAAUGUUGCUGAGUUUCAAGGACAUUAUAGAUAAUAAUUACCACGCUGAAACCUAUGUAGAAAAUGGAGUUUAAUUUAUGUGCACAACUUCCUACGAAUAUGGCCAGAGUGUUUUCUUGAGAACAUGGAGCGUAUCUCGAGUGGUUUAUAUACUACGACCAUAAGCCCUAUAGAAAGUCACUAUGUGUGUUACGCCCCGAUCCCAACAUACAUCCCGGAUCGACACAUGACGUCACUAAGUAUCCGUAUCUCUAACAUACCCCGCCUUUGGGAUAUGUGCAAACACAACUCACGAUCCAACUACGUAGUAAUUUUUUAUACACUUGAUGGCUGCAUCUAACCUCCUCGUUAGAUUGCCUACGUACCCUACACAGGGAUCAAGCCAUUCGGGGAAGAAGUCGCGCAUCAUGAUGGCAACGAACGAUCUUCGUGUUGCAAUUUCAUCAUCCUCAACAUUUUCAUGUAGCUUUGGAGGUUAACGAGUGCUGCUUUGCCCUCUUUCCGAUUGGUGAACUUGUGAAAGAGAUGUAUGCUUCGUGUGCAGUUUCUUUGGAGUGACAUGAGUCCAUCCUUCAACUUCACUUGACUUAACUGACAUGGUUUUAGAGCAUGCCCUCAGCGGUUGAGGUGAAGAUUUUGAGUUGAAAGAGCCAGAAGUGACGGUGGUAUAGUUUGACUUCACCACAUCUUCAAGAUCUAGCUCGAUGAUUCCUUUCUGAGUCAGCUUCAUGAUGAGAUCUUUCAGCACGAAGCACUUUUCCUUCAGAUGACUGAUGAAACGGUGGAAUUUACAAUACCUUGGACUGUCAGUAUGAUUCUUCUCUUCCAUCCGUCUGCACUCAGGUAGGUUGAUCACCUUUUUUUCAAGCAAGUUUUUCAACAUGGCAACCACAUUAGAGUCGGGGAAUGGAUAAGUCUUCUCCUCAAGUUCCUUCAAAGUGCGUCUACACAUCUCUUGAUCACGAAAAGCUUCGGUUUGAAUCGCCUUACCUCGUUAUAGAUUUUGACUGGAGCUGUGUUGACCGUCAUUGCUUCCUUGGUGGGUUUCCAUGCAGCCUUAUCCACCUUUGGCCUAAAAAAUUUGUCGUUCUUGUAGUUGGCGAUCAGUUCUUUCUUCCCAUGAUGGGCGAUGCUUAAAUCCAUGUCAUGGGCGCGGGUGGCUAACUCCUCGAAGGUCCGUGGUUUGAUGUCUUGAAUGAUCUAGUGUAAUUCUCACUGCAUGCCUUGAACACAUAUCUCGAUCGAUGAGGUUUCUGAAAGUUUGUCUUUGCAGUUUAGACUUAGAGUGCAUCAUUGGUUGAUGUAGUCAACAACUGGCUCAUCCUUCCACUGCUUUGUAUUUGUGAGCUCCAGCAUGCUUAUAGUGUGGCUGAUACUGCAGAAACGGUUAAAGAAUUCCCACUCCAACUGCUCACAGCUGUUGAUGGACUCAGGCUCUAGGUCCGUGCACCAGUCGAAUGCAUUCCCAUUUAGUGAGCGGACAAACUGUGUUGUGAGGUAGUCUCCUUCAGUCAUCGCGUUGUUGCAAGUCUCAACAAAAUGAGCGACGUGUUGUUUUGGGUUUCCCUUUCUAUCAAACUGCAUAAACUUUGGUGGUUGGUACCCCAUCGGCAUCUGCAAGCUAUCAAUCUUUUUGGUGUAUGGCUUUGAGUAUAGCAGUGCAUUCUACGAAGUGCCUCUCACCUGUGUUCUGACAGUGUUGGCAAUCAUGUCCUGGAUAUGUUGUAUGGAAAGAGAGCCUAUAAGUGUCAUUGUUUGGUCUGGCUUCUCCUCGACUUUCUCCACCAGAGACUCAUCUUCUUUGUUGACUUCAUUCUUUAGUGGAUCAACCUUUAGGUCGCGGUCAACUUUUUCGUCAUGCUGCGCCUCCAAUCAGUUGAUGAGUGCGGUGAUUUGCAAGUCCUUCUCCUCUGCGGUCCUUGUGAGCCUUACAAUUGCUUCACUUAUUUAAGCCAGUUGUUAUUUAAUAGAGGUAACGCUGAUGGUCAUGACUUAGGCAACCAAAAGAUGCGAUUUUCCUUCAAACAUCCAGGGUGCUGACGAAGAACCCCGUUGCCCGUUUUGGGAUGUUAUCUUGUGCGCCUCAGCAGCAUGCUUCAGUGUCCCCAGCGAUAUCAGGUUGAUGACGGACUCGCGCCUCCUUUGUUCCUUUAGGGGUACCGAAUUUGAAGCGGCAUGUUGAGGAGCGGUUGUGAAGCUAAUGGAUUGUCAGUUUGCAGCAUAAAUGCUCAGGAUCCUUCCCUUGGUGGUUGCGAGAACGGCUUGUCCCUUGAUUGAUGCCAUUGAUUUUAAGGUGUGUUCGGAUUUCUUAACGGAAAAAGAGAUGAGAGGUAGAGAUUAUCCCAUCGGCCGUGCCAAAUUUGUAAACACUAAUUUUCCUGCGAUGAAACGAGACAAGAACACGUAUACAAAAUAAUAUUUGUAUUAAUGAUUUUGGGGUUACAAAGUGCAGCCCAUUUAUAGAGGUUUCACCAUACAAUCAAUUGGUAAUAUGGAGACUAAUGCAACUACUUGUAAGCACAUAUAAGGCCAUUCUUUCCACAAUAUGGGAUUCACUAUCAAAACAUCCCUCCACCUGUAGCAAAUUUUCAAGUCUAACACGUGGAAAACACAAACAAGGUGAUGUGGAACAUGUGGAACACAAAUAGGGACCUUGGAUGUACUUAUAAGUAGUUGGGCUACUCUCUAUAUUGACAAUUGGUUUUCACGGUGCAACCUUAACUUUUUUCAUAAUAUUAGAGCAUGUUGUUUCAUGUGUGAAACCCAAUGGCCACAUAUACGUGCUCCACGUCACCCUAUUUGUGUUAUACAUGUGUUAAGCUUGAAACUUCGCCACACGUGAGGAGGUGUGUUGAAAGUGAAUCCCCAAUUGGAGAAAUGAGGUUGCAUGUACUUAUAAGUAGUUUGACUCCUUCCUAUAUUGCCAAUUAGUUUUAUACUAGAAUCUCGACUUUCUUCAUUUACCGCUGUGAUGUGAAAUCCAGCAACAUUUUGCUCCAUGAAAAUUUUGAGGCAAGAGUUUCAGACUUUGGGGAUUUUGAGGCUGGUUAAGGAUAGUAUUGUUUUCUUUUUUUUUUGGAGAGGAAGAUAUGAUUUUGGUGUUGUACAUGAAGAGGGUACUAAAAAAAGAGAGGUUGAUGGAUAUUGUUGAUUCAGUUAUUAAAGAGGGAGCUGCCAAGCGAGAAUUGCGACGAUGAGGCACUGGGAUUUCUCGCACAAUCGGUACUUGAAUGAUAAGAGGCGCAUUCGGCCUUCAAUGAAAGAAGUUGCUGAUGUUAUUAUUCACAGGAUUGGCAUUGUUACGAGUUUUAUACCUGCACCCGAGUCUGUGAACAAGGUCGUGGUAACUAGUCCAAAUCCUAAUUAAAAAGAGUAUGGCUUAUUAAACUAUGACAUACCCCGAUCUGUAUAUGCAAGUGAACACCCGAAAUCGAGACAUGCGACUGACAUCUAGAAGAAAAAAAAAAAGAAAAAUUAAUUGAAACAAUUCCUUGUUGUCAAUAAAUGAAAACUUAUGGUCUAUUUGAAAACAAACGCCCCGACUAUUUAUACGUCCCGACUGUUUAUAAGUUUAGAUUUCAAAUAUACCAAGAGACCAAAUUUAUCAAAAUUCAAAUAUAGCACCAACCAAAUGUACACAUUUGACAGGUAACUAAAAAUACCGAUUAUCAGACGUAUCUAACAACGAGUUUUUGAACAUUUUGUUUGAUUUACUGAAAUAAGUAUUUGAAUAAACAAUAAAAAAAUUUGAAAUCACCAUAAUAAGAGGUACUUAAUAAUAAUAGGAGAAAAAAGGGAGUGCUAGUAAAGAUAUAACAAAAAAAAAUCUUAAAAAUUUACCAUUAUUAAAGUAGAAUGAUGAGGGUUCGAAACUAUUAUAAUAAUUUAAAGGUGGUGGAGUUUCGAAUAUAAGACACAUAGGUGGAAAACCAACGCUUUAUCCACUAGAAGCAUGAACUACAUGCUGAAGAAAUAAAUCUCUUAUAAAAUUAAAUAACAUGAAAUUGAUCACCAAAAUUUAAGGAAAAUAUUUAAUCAAAUUUUCACAAGAAAGAUACAAUUAGUCUAUAAUAUUUAAAAACGAGACAUCAUAUCAAAAUACCUCUCAAAUAGUUCAAAUGCUUUUUUACGAGGCCACCAAGUUGGGCACUUUCUCAAUCGCAAAGCCAUAGGCCCAUAGAUGAUAGAUGAUAGCCCAAUACUAAACUUAUAUUGCAUUUUCCUUACGAGUGAUGUUAAGUUCACCCCAGUGUCUUAUUUCCACACCCACUAUAAAAUGAUACUCUUAUGAUAUUCUUAUUGACAAAUUUAUCCUAGUGUAAAAUAACCUCUAAAGACCUAAAUACCUAAAGACCAACCAAUCAUAUAAAAAAAACCUAAAUUAUCAUAAAUAAGAAAAAGAAAAAAAAUAUAAUGAACCCCACAAGCUUUCCUGGGGAAGGAAGUUCAGAAAUUAAACUUAUUAGCAAGAUGGUGAAUUCGAACUUGACAAAGGAAAGCCUCGAGGCUCACAAUAAAGCACAUGUUGUGGAAGGGGUGAUCAAGCUUCACCAGAGAGUAGAGCAAGUUAGUAUUCAAGACUAUUAUAAUGUUGAGAUAGAUGAGAAGAGAAGCUCAUAGUCCAGAUUACAUUAGGGGACUCAUGGAUCCGACACUCGUUGAACUCUGAUCGUGUGUUGGUGUUUUGGAACAAUUUGGAUACCUACCAUAUACUGAAUUUGGAGGAAUUUGAUAUUAGGGAAAGCCAGUACAGCACCAAACUAUGAGUGAAGCUCUUCCAAUUUAAUCAUACUCUCUCUUGUAUGGUUUGAAUUCAAAUUGGAAACGAUAAAAAUUGGGUGCUGGAGCGAUUUUCGAGACGUGGUGGUGCUGCGAUGGUUGGCGAUAAAGGAGGGGCGCUUGGUGUUGUGGAUUUGGGGUGUCGAUAGUGACGGUUCUGCAAAUUUUCUGGGGAGAGGGCUGCUGCUGGUGAUACUUGGAGUUCUUGGGUAUUUUCAUUUAGUGAUAAUUGUUUUUUUUUUAUUUAUUUGUAAUCAUUUUUUUAAAGCAAGAAAAAAUUGAAAAAGAAAUAUGUAGAGUUAUUUUGGAAAUAAUGGUGGGUGGGAAAAGAGUUGAUGUAUUUUUUCACUUUUUAUGGUGGUGUAAAUAUAAGGUGAGUGCGGAAAUAAGACAUUGGGGUGGGCAUAUCACAACUCUUUCCUUACACCCCCAAGCAAAAGGGCGAAACCCUACUCCAAUUGCAAAAUACUAAACCAUCUGAAUUUUCAGCCAUAGCCGGACCUCAAAUGUCUCUCUCCUCGAAGCUCCGCAGGCCGUCCCACUCAGCCCUAGCCCCUGCCGUCCGAGCCGUUGGAUCAGCACCCACCCUUCACCACGGGAUGUCCACCGUCCCUACUUUCAGCCCUCAGUUCAUCCGGAGAAGCUUUGUUCCAGUUCAUCGAUUCUCCACCGCCGCUGAUCCAGCCGGCGAUCACAGUAUGAUCAAAUUCUUUGAGUCCCAGAUGAAGUAUGUCUACGACGAGAAAUCCAAAAAUCGGUAAGCGUAUAACUUUUAGUUUCCAAUUUUUACUCUUAAAAUUGCUGUUUUCUUACUUGGAAGUUGUCUUUUAAAAUCCAAAACCUACGGCGGAGUUAAAUCGGUGACCAUACCUUUCAUUUCUUUUUUCCUCGGUGACUUGGAUGAGAAGUUGAAGAAUGCUUUGCAUGAGUAUCUCGAGGAUCGAAAGACCGAGGACACCAGGAAGAAGCGUGAGGAGAUUUUGUAUUUCAAAAACAGUGGCAAGUCAGGAAAAAUCUUCUUCGCCCACAAAGAGAUAGCACGAGCAACCAACUUCUUUUUCAAAGACAACAUAAUCGGCUCCGGUGGCUUUUCUCAGGUCUUCAAGGGCACUCUUCAUGACGCACUAUCAAGCGCACCAAGCAUGGUGACACCAAGGACAUUGAUCAUAUUCUUAACGAGGUUCGGAUUCUCUGCCAGGUGAACCACAGGAGCCUGGUGAGACUCAUUGGCCGCUGUAUCGAGCUUGAUCAGCAACCUAUCCUCGUAUAUGAGUACGUUCCAAAUGGAACUCUUUCUGAUAUCUUCACUGUCGUCACAGCGGAAAAUGGGCUCCAAUUGGUUGGCGUCAUAGGCUCCGAAUUGCUCACCAAACAGCUGAAGGCCUUGCUUAUCUUUCACUCUUCUGCAGUGCAGCCCAUUUACCACGGUGACGUGAAAUCCAGCAACAUAUUGCUGGAUGAAAAUUUUGAGCCAAAACUUUCAGACUUGGGGAUCUCGAAGCUGGUUGAGGACAGAGAAACCAGCACUCAGGGGACUCCCGGUUAUCUAGACCCUGACUACCUCAGUAACUUUCAGCUCCCGGAUAAGAUCGACGUUUACAUCUUCGGUGUUGUACUGUUGGAGCUGUAGACUUCUCAGGAGGUUAUCGAUUUCAACAGACGAGAGGAAGAUACGAGAUUGGUGCCGUACAUGAAGAGGGUAUUGAAACAAGGGAGGUUGAUGGAUACUGUCGAUCCAGUUAUUAAGGAGGGAGCUAGCGAGCAAGAAUUGGAGACGAUGAAGGCGCUGGGAUUUCUUGCCCGAUCGUGCUUCAAUGAUCAGAGGCGCAAUAGGCCUUCAAUGAAAGAAGUUGCUGAUAAGAUUAAGUAUAUGAUCGGCUUUCUUACUAAUUUCGAGUCAUGUCCCUGCAUCCGAGUACCUGCGACAAGGCCGUGGUAACCAGUCAGAAUCCUAAUUCAGAAAGGUAUGGCUCAUCAAACUGUAUAAACUUUUCUAUUAUUCAACUGUCAUCAAGGUCCAUGCCUCGACCAAUCGAUACAUGUUUUCUAGCAUACCAAAAUGAAUGAACCCUAAGAAAUGAGUAAGAGGCAAAGAAUUUGAGGGAAGAUAUAUCAAGAAGCCCUUGUAGUUUCGAGAUGAUUAUUCAGCCAAACCUCCGUGAUCCAUCCGUCUCUUUGAAUCCUCGGGCCUUUAUAUAGUGGCACUACAAAGUUGACAAAAAUACACAUAACCAACAAACAAAAGUAAAACAAAACGCGAACACAAAGCUCAGUUACAUUGCAUGAUGGUUGAACGUGGGGUGUUGUCCACAUGCUCCGUUCGCACAUCUGUUGUGCACUGCAGGAGGCAAAUCCAUGAAAUAACUAAUGUGCAUGUAGUUCCAAGAUAUAAAUUCCAUGCCUAAAUCCCGGGAGGGCAGGCAAACAAGAAAUCAUAUUGAAUCUGUAGAACUGCUUCAAUACGUCUCUGUACAUUAAGUGGAUUAAGAUAUGAUACUGUUGAGGGUGCAACAUAAAAAAGACACAUUGAAAUAAAAUACGAGGUUGCUAAAUUGCCUCAGAAAAAACAAAUGAGGCAAGUUGCAGACUUUUCCAUUUACGAGUAAAUAAAUGAAUGCUGUAGCGUAAAUGUAUCAUCGGUAGAACUGAAAAACACAACCCUCUAAACUAAUGCCGAUAGGAUCCAAAACAUCACGUGAGAGGAUAUGGAAGUAAGGAUCCAGGUGACAAAAGCGAAGGAAACUGCAAGCAUGUAGCUACCACAUGGUAAACCCCAUCUACCUGUGCAGAAAUGAAAGUCUCUUACAAACAGAAUUGCAAUCCCUGAUGAAGAGCUUGCAGCAGCCAGUGAUAAAGUAGCUGUUACCUGAAACAUUUAAAUUUGGAUUUAUUUCAGCAGCCGGUAUUCGACCUCAAACGUACACAAGACAUAACAUCAGCCAUAAGGGAUGUGAAAAGAGUUAAAGGGACGAGUGACAUACCCAAUCACCGACAACAAAUAGCCUCACUAGUAAUUUAUUUUGAAGGUCUCUCUUUUUGCUCAAAGCAUAAAUAUCAAGACAAGCAAGCCCCAAGCUCCAUAGCACUUGAAGUGCCAUCGACGAAACCAAAUAGCUGAACCAUAGGACAGAGAUCAACACGAAGCUUUUGCAGAACAAUUAACCACCAGUUAUUGAAGAAAAGAUUCAUAACCUAUCUGAGAUGGAAAACUAUGAGAAACAAACAAAUUUGGCAAAUUGGUUUCACUUUGCUUAUGUUUAAAUCUCCGAAAAACUUUCAAAAAUACAAAGCAAUGCACAUGUCGAUGACUAGUGUACCGAUAAUUUCUGCACUCGUGUAUCAACAAGGUCAGUGGAUUAUGCACUAAUCUCAUUCUAAGGUGAUACAUAUAGUUCUAUAACUGUAUGCUAAUUCUGUAACUCCACCACUCGUAAACAGUAACGCCGAAAAUUUCUCAGGUUGAUCUCCUCAGUGUUUGAAUUUCAAUUUCAACUAUCACGGCCGGAUUCGGGUCAUAUAUUUACAUGUCAAUAAAACAUAAGCAGCUUAAACCAGUCAAAAGCAGUUCACCACUGUAACAGUCUAAAUCCUAAAGGCAAUUAGAUACCAAAUUUCAAACCAAAACUUAUAAAAUUCAAUAAAAAUAAUUAGGAAAACCAAUAAAUAAUGACUUCUGGUAAAUUAAAGUGCAAGAAAAUGAAAUAACGGAACAAAAAACAAUAAAUAAAAAUACCAGAAACAGGUGAAUUCAGCGAAGCGGUCGGUGGUGACCAUGACGGCGAUGGCGAUACCAGCACAUGAAAAUUGCGAUACCCUCAGCAGCAACCCGCUCACAGACCCAGGUCUCCCGAGCAGCUCCUUCAUUUCUGAACCGGAUCGAGCAGAGAGUCUAGAGAGAGACAGGGGAGCGAGAGAGAGGGCCCUAAAAUCCAAAACCCUAAACCUCACGCUCCUCCCAUACGGCUUCCAUCUCCCCCAAUCUCCGCCAUGAAAUCCUCCACUUUCCGAUUUCAAUCGGAGGAAACGGGUGUCGAAAUCGUUGAUUGGAUUAAGUUGGAUUCGGGAAGAUCCAGGGAAUCCCAAUCAGUGGUUCUGAUCGAUUUGAUUUCUUUGAUUCCAAAUUAGGAAAUCGUCGCAUUAAAGAAACCCUAAUGUUGAUUUAUGACUGAUCUUGGUUGUUUAAGGACGGAAUUAAUGUCCGGUCGUGGUGGACUCGAGAUAUCGAUUGAGAGUUUUUCAGCGAUUACUAAUUAAUUAGCUUGUGAGGUUGAGUAGGGCCCAUUGACCGACACUUCCUACGUGGACUCCUUUUUCAUGUUACUCGCUGCGAACGUGUACAUAUGUGGGAGAGGAAAUCGUGGAUCCAGCAUCACGUGAACGGACUUGUAGAGUUAUUUAAUAAAAAAGGGUAAUGAUAUAAAAACUAAUCAUUUAUUAAAUUUACAAAAAAAUAGAUGUGUCAUCACUUUGAAAUAAGCAUUAAUUAACAUUGAGUAAUAAAUUCAGUCAUCAACAAUCACAUCAUUUAGUUUAAAAAUUUAGUCUCCUUAACAUUAUCCAGUAAAAUAUCGUCGUGAUGGUGGAUUAUCCAAAAGGAAGAAGGUGUAUGUCUUUUGUUGAGAGACUGGAUCUAGAGACCAAGUGAAGGGGUAGACUGUCCGACUCAACAUAUACACAUGUUACAUAUUGGUUUUUAUUAUUUAUUCGAGUCUUUGAUUGCAUAAUCGUAACCAUGUGGCAAUGUUUUAUUGCACAGUUGGAUAAACAUAGGUAGUAUGUAUUUUAAUUAGGAAUGUCUCGGCUUCGAAAUUAUUACAAUAAUCUAAAAAAUGAGAGAGUUUCAAAUGUGUGACGAAUGGUAGAAAACUCAACACCCUAAAUCUCACAGUUCAUCCCGAAAUAUCAUUUAUCGCGAAUGUCAAAUGACGGAAUUACCCUUAAUGGUUGCUAAGGUUUGUGUGACAUGUUAUUUGAAUAUUGCAUACUCUCCUAAAUUCUUGGAAAAUUUUAAGUGGAUUAAAAGUUGUAUACAAUUUGUGUGGUUAGGGACUUAAAGAAUUUUGGAUUGUGGUUUGUUUUGGGUGGACCACACACACACACGGCACACGCACACUCACCCCGUGCCCUAUCUCUCCUCCCUUUCAGUUCACUCUCUCUCUCUCCCUUUCGAACUUGUACGGACAAGAACCAAACCCCUCAAAACUUCACAGAUCGACGUCAAAAAGGUGAGUUCCUUCAUCCUUACAACCUCCUGAAUCGAUUGGUACUAUUUUUAGAACUGGAAACCCUCGAAAUCACGUCGAAACCGUAACCCAGUUUGAUGUCAUUGUUCAUGCACACGUGAAAUGUUGGUUUUCAGGGAAUUCUAAGCCUACAAGUAGUGAGGUCCCUGUUGGAAAUUAUAUAUUAUAAUAUAAAAUAUGGUAAUAUAUAAUUUUAAUAAUUGAAUGAAAAAUAGUGUUAACCAAUUUCUUAGAAAGGUUAUGUUGUUUAGGUGUAUUCUCUUGAUAAGUGAUGUAUACUUAUAGAUGAAAAGUUACAUUUCCUUAACAAAAAGUACUUGGGUUCUAUAUAAACUCAUGAAACCAUUAUCACUAAUAUAUAGAAAAUUAGAGUUAAUUUUUACUCUUGAGAAAUAGGGUUUCCCCACUUUGUUUCUCAAAUGAUUUGUGUGUCAAAUUCCGAGUUGUGUCUUAAGAGUACAGAAUAUAUGAAGUUCGCCAGAGUCCGAAGAUUGAAGUGCUUUGACUUCGGAUUAUAGAUUGUUGAAUCCUGGGAGAUGGACGCCUACUGAACUACAAGCACAAGAGUAUGGGCGAAAUUCUAUCUUUAGGACAUUGCAUUUAUGCAAGCCUCAAUCUCCAAGUUUGUCAGUUAUUCUAACUUUCUCUUUAGUUGUUUAUAUUAAUCUCAUAUAUAAUUGAUGUUGUGAAAUUUCUUUAUGAUUAUUAUCAUUGGAAUUAUAUUGUUAUUUUCUCAUAUUUUCUAUUAUUGCUCCAAAAAUCUAAAGAUAGAAUUUUAUAUCUCUAUGCAAUUAGAAAAUAUGAGUAAAGCCUAGGGCUUUAGAGAUUCGCAAUGAAAAAAUAUUGUAAAGAUAGAUCAGGGAUAGAUUAUGUGUUGAAAGUUGUAUAUAUAGUACACAAAACAACACAAGAAUUUUGGGAUUUAUUGAUGAUGAUGAUGAUGAUGAUGAUGAUGAUGAUGAUGAUGAUGAUGAUGAUGAUGAUGAUUAAGAUAGAAGGUUAUUUGUCUUAUAUAUAUUUAUUAGAAAUUAUAAUCUAACUGCUUUCAAAUUAAUGUCAGUUUGAAUUUAACUUCUUUUGGCAGUCUGGGCAUAUCGCCUAACUGGCAAUGUUUAAACGUUUGAGGCCUGAUAAAACUAUUUUGCAUGUCGCCCAAUUGGCAGUGUUGUUGUCAAUUAUGUAAAUUCUAUGAUAUAAAUUUCGUGUAUGGCUGUUACAUUAUAUGCAUGUUUAUAUAUUAAACUGCUUCCUAUAUAGAAAGGAUGGAGAUUCUUGUUUCCAGAAAGACACAGUGAUAACAAUUUUUAUCAUGUGGUUGCUGCAAUUUUUAUGUGGUCCAUUUAAAGAUCAUAUUCAGUGUGAUUGCUGCAAUUUUUAUAAUGUGUUUGCUGCAAUCUUUAUCAUGUGUCUACUUUAAAUGAAGAAAGGUGUCGGUUCAUGCCAAGUGAACACCAAAGUGGUGUACUGGAUCCAUACCAGUUAAUGAAAGAGUUCCUUUUACAGAAAGGAGAUGUGCCGAAAUAGAGAAGUUUGGCAUUUGAAAUACGCCAAAUGCCAUUGGAUUUUUCUAUUAAAAGGAAUGUAAUGGUUUGUUUGAUUCUAAUCAGACGCAUCCAUGAAGGUUUUCUUUAUGAAAAUAUAGAAUAAAAAUGUUGAUUUGAAUUGGUAUAUCUCACAAGCAAUGCAUAGUUUGCAUUCUAAAUGCAGACACGUUGUGAAAGAGCAAACUUCGUAUGGAUCAUUUGGUCCAAAUGAAUGAGCAGGUUUCAGAAGUUGUCUCUCUUCCAUUGGUGUAGAUAUAUGUGUAACCGCUCGUCUGAAUAAGUUAUCAAUUGCUUGGAGACGCCAUUCACCAAACUGGUAAUCUACAACCAUGGUGGGUCAGUUGGCAAGUUGUAUAUAUCAAAGUGAAUUUGAUAUGUGAGUGGUUUCAUGGUGAUCUGCAAGUGUCAUGGAAAAUUGCCAAUUGUGAAAUGAAUCUUGUGUUAUUCUCACAUGAUCAAUUCAACGUAACGAUAUGAGGAGAUGUGUCAUUAUGAGACAAAAAUCUCUGCGGUAUGUAUUUUCAAUAUGCGCAAGAGGCAUGUUGGAUUCUCAAAUACAUAAUUUAUAUGAACACGCAUGCUGGUCAAGUUUUGUCUUUGGACAAAUUAUAAGGAUUAGCUAAUUAACAUCGAUGAAGGUAUUACUUUGACAACUACCGUAAAUUAUGAAGGUCAUAAUUUCACCCUACAUGUUAGUCAUGAUGAUCGAGUUACCUGCAAGCAAGGGUUAAUCAUUUCAGAGUGAAAGUAUCAAAGUUCAAAGGUUGACGGCAAAGUGCCAAUACGUGCUUAUACAAAUAAGGCUAAUGAGGCUUCAAAUUCUGGAAGUGAAGAUAGACAAAGAACCUAUCUUUCUCAUUUUCUUCUUAAAGUGGAAAAUGUGAUUGAUUUAAUGAUAGCAUUGCAAGAAACUACAAUUAUGAAAGAAUUGUAGGGGUUGGUUAAAAGUAAUUUGCUAAUUGAACGACAUUUAAGAUGUCAUCUCUUGUAAUGAGUAAUUGUUUAAGGUAUGGCAAGGUUAGAGAUCUUCUUACAAAUACCUUAAAUGUGGGGGAGUUUACCCAAGUGCUUAGUGUUAGCAAAUUACUUAAUGAAGUCCUAAUAUAAUUUUGAGGACUUGACAAUGUCAAACAACUAUUCUCGUAUGAAAUAUAAUUUCAUAAGAUGAAUUGUGCAUUCCAUUAAAAAUAGUCAACCUAAUAGUGGAUCCAAUUAUUAAAGGUUAGACUAGAGAGUAAGUUGAUCAUUGAAGGGAAUGAGGCUAAAGCCAACAUAACUAAUGAAUCAGCCGAGCGAAACCUAACUUAGUUGAUUGGAGAUCCCAUGGUCUAAGUUCAAUAGGAAAACUGGUUGGGCAUUAUUCAAAGAAGUUAACACAUUAUAUACCUCAUUCCUAUGAUAGAAGAAGUGUGUUGUCUGUAAGAAGUUUUAGGUUGUAUAUUUAUACUUAAUGACAUUGAUAUCUUAUAAAUAAGAGGAAUAGAGCAGACUAUUCUUAAUCAGUGGUCACCUAUAUGAGAGUAGAAGUGAGUCGCUUCUAUGAGAAUGAGAUGGCUAAAUUCUCUAAAGCUCUCAUGAAUCCGGGAUUUAUUCAGGACCAAAAUGAACACAACUGUAUGAACUGGAAUAUAUUAGGAUUAGUGAUGUGUGUUGCUUAUUGUCUCGGUUUACUGCUGCGGUGAACAGUUCAAGAUUUUAUAUUCACUGCAUCACCAAGUAAAUCCGAUAAGUAUUCACUAGGGUAGGUUCAAGUCCAAAAGACACCUCUCCUGAUGCAUCCCUUGUCCACCUGUACUCCCAAAUUCUUCCUGAUUUUCAUUCAUGUGGGGGAUUGUUGGAAAUUAUAUAUUAUAAUAUGAAAUAUGGUAAUAUAUAAUUUUAAUAAUUGAAUGAAAAAUAGUGUUAACCAAUUUCUUAGAAAGGUUAUGUUGUUUAGGUGUAUUCUCUUGAUAAGUGAUGUAUACUUAUAGAUGAAAAGUUACAUCUCCUUAACAAAAAGUACUUGGGUUCUAUAUAAACUCAUGAAACCAUUAUCACUAAUAUAUAGAAAAUUAAAGUUAAUUUUUACUCUUGAGAAAUAGGGUUUCCCCACUUUGUUUCUCAAAUGAUUUGUGUGUCAAAUUCCGAGUCGUGUCUUAAGAGUACAUAAUAUAUGAAGUUCGCCAGAGUCCAAAUAUUGAAGUGCUUUGACUUCGGAUUAUAGAUUGUUGAAUCCUGGGAAGAUGGACGCCUACCGAACUACAAGCACAAGAGUAGGGGCGAAAUUCUAUCUUUAGAACAUUGCAUUUAUGCAAGCCUCAAUCUCCAAGUAUGUCAGUUAUUCUAACUUUCUCUCUAGUUGUUUAUAUUAAUCUCAUAUAUAAUUGAUGUUGUGAAAUUUCUUUAUGAUUAUUUUCAUUGGAAUUAUAUUGUUAUUUCUCAUAUUUUCUAUUAUUGCUCCAACAUUCCCAAGGAAGCUCGGAGUACUUAGUUUGAAGGUUUUGGACGUCGGGAUCGCAGGGUUCGAAGUUGGCCGGUUUUCUUGGAUUUUCUUCAGUGAGAUUUCGUGUGUUUUUUAGCCUUAAAUUAGUACAUAGUGAUUCUACAUGCUCAGGGCUUCAUUUUGGUAUAAAUUGCGAAAAAAAAAUGGUUGAGAAUUGACGGAGAAUAAGAAGUUUGAAAAUAACCCCAGAAACCGGCGACUUUUCCGUCGCCAGCGAAACCAGUCCGGCAACUGGAGGUAGGGGAUGACGCGCGUGGGGGCGCGCGUGAGGGCGCGUGAUAGAUCCAAAAAUGUUUCUAAAAAUAUCUCAACGUCCGUGACGUCGAGUAGGUCACUGUGGUAUAUUCAUAUACCCAAAUUGAGCAUCGUAUGAGAAGUUAUUACGUAUUGUUGGUUGUGUGCUUUAAAAUAACAUUUUUAUAGUUGUUUUGCAUAUAGGUGAGACCUAUCCUGAGGACGAGCGCUUUCAAGGGCAUCACGGGGGUUACGACCCUUCGACAUACCAAUGAGUGGGCAGUUAUUUUUUGUUUAUACCUAUAUACUACUGAUUUUUCCCAUAAAUUGAAUUUAAAGGGAAGUAGGUUUUAAAAUGCCUUGCAUACAUAAUAUAUGAAAUAUAUGAAUUAGUAUUUGAUGCAUAUAUAUGAAAUGGUGUUGUGGACGCACAGGUGAGUCUCAGGUGAGUUUUAUGUGUUCAUGUGAAUUAUUAAUGAGAUGAAUUGUGUUGAGAGCUCAUAAUAUGCACCCCUGGUGUUAGUGCUUAUAUUAUUCACCCCGCACCACACGCUCACCUUGGAUCCAAGUAGGUGCAUGCCGAACAGACCAUUAGAGGUGGUUCCGACUUGUAGGUGACUUUAGAUUAUUAUACAGCUGUUGAUGAGAGAAGCACUAGAGUGUAUUCUUACACCAUUCUUGUCGUACAGACUACUUCAGGUAGUUCCGAUUUAUGUGCAGAAUAGUGCCGUACAGGUCACAUUGGUGACUCCGGUUGGGUUGGAUAUUGAGGUAUAGAAUUAACCGUACAGGACAACUGCAGGGUCUUCGGUUGAUUCAUUAUUUCACCUGUUAUAUUGAUGCAUCCUUAUCAUGUUUGAAGCAUAGCAUGGCAUAUUUCUUGAAAAGUGUUAAAGACUUGUGAUUUGAGUUUUGCUGUUAUAUAUGGUUAUAUAUAUACUAUUUUUCUGGGAAAGUAUACAGGUUUUACAGUGAGGGGUUAGAAAUGUUGUUAAAUGAAAUAUUUUCGAAAAGCUUUGUUUUACUAACCCACUCAAUCUUGUUUUGCGCCCCUCCAGGUUUUAGUUAGCAGUGUUGGUGGCCCACGAGGAUUCCCACGGCGUCCUGACAGAUUACUUAAAUGUAGGACUCACCUCCGGGUGUUGUAACUUAGUAAUGGUCCUACUUGACUGCACUUAGUACUUAUACUCUAAAUAUGUGUGUUUUACACUUAAACUCACUCUAGCAUGUUAGUUAGAUAUUAUUGCUAGUAGUUGGUUUUUACUCCUUUGUAUUUCUUUUAUCUUUUGCUUCCGCAUCGCACUUUUGGUUACGUCACGCCCACGUGACGGCCAUCACACAUUGAUUCUAGGAUCAGGAUGUGUGUCGUUUUGGUAUCAGAGCAUAGGUUUGUAGUUUUGUAUAAAUUGUGAAUGCUCUAAUGAUCUUUUGGUGUCUUCUAUCAGAACCAUACCACCUCGUAGGGAAUCACGUCGUGCUCCUGAGCCUAAUUUCCCUGACAUAACUCAAUUAGGGGAAGCGAUGGCCCAUGCCUUUCAGACUGCAAUCCGUUCUCCUUAGAGAACAGCCCUGAAGACUAUGUACAAUCUGAAAUUAGACCGCUUAAUGGGUAAUGAGGGUCAUGAAGGGGCAUAAAAGUGGUUAGACCAUAUUGAGAAGACCUUUUAGGUGAUGCAGAGUCAAGGGAAUCUUCCUGCUAGUAGAUGGGUCGAGACCACUACUUGAUUUUUAGAACGAGAGCCAGCAGCUUGGUGGGUAAAUCAAACUCAGUUUAUGUCACCUGAAGCGGCAACUGAUUGGGAAGUAUUCAAAGAGAAUUUUAAGAAAAUAAUUGUUCCCCCGAAGUACAUUGAUCGUAAGAAGUAGGAGUUCACUCAAUUGAAGCAAAAGAAUAUGUCGGCGCAUGAGUAUUACAGGAAGUUUACAGACUUAUCCCGUUAUGAUCCUGAUACAGCUGGUAAUCAGGUAGAGAUGCUUUGCCGUUUUAAGCAGGAAACUAAGAGGAAAUGGCGGACGUUCGCUAGUGUGAUUCCUUGCAUCACGUACCAUGAGUUUUUUGAGAUUUUGGUUCGGAUGGAGGAUUCCAAAAAUCUUCAUAGUGAUAGUGAGGAAGAUGAAGAUAAGAAUAAUAAUCAGAAGAAAGAUGACAGGGGUAAAGGUAUCUCCAAUCAGGGACCCCGUAAGACACAGAAUUUCAAGAGAAAUGGAGCGAGCUCAAGUUCUUCCAGCGGAGGAUUUAGUGUCACAGGCCCGAGGAGAGGUGGAAGAUUUACUAAUGGACCCAGGUUUCAGAGACAGAGAAACUUUGGUGGUGCUGGUGGUUCAGGUCCUCCGUUAUGCCGCCGUUGUAAUUUCAGACAUCAUGGAGAGUGUAGGAGAAAUGGCGGUGGUUGCUACACUUAUGGACAGAUGGGACAUAGAGCUGCUCAGUGUCCCCAGAGUCAGCAGAGGCCUCAGCAGUCUGCUAUACCACCUCCAACGCCGAUUCAGCAGAACUUUGGAUCAGGCAGUUAUGGUCAGACGGGUCGUGGUGGUGCUUACCACUAUCAGGGUGAUGCUGCUCCCUAUGCUUCCGGAUAGAAUCAGUAUUCCCAGGAUCCUUAUUUUCAGACUAGGUAUUCCUCAGAAAGUUCCCUGGAAACCCACCUUGUGCUCCUUGAGUAACAUAAUCAACACCAUAUCCACUUUGAGAAGCCUGUCAAGCAUGCUAGCAUCAUGUCAGUUUUAAUUUUUCGAAUACAUGACUAAUUCUGCAAUUGCAAGUAAUAGAGGUUCUUAAAUUACAUAACAUAGUACAUUAGGAAAGUAAAUGGCGCAGACACAAAAAGGGCAAGGGAAAAUCCUCCUAUAAAUAACCUUUUCCUUUCAAUUUUUCUUUUGCAUGAUGUAGGAAUUCUUCUUCCAUGUGAAAUUAAUUCAUCGAAAAUGUAAAAAAAAAAGGUAAUUAAUGAAAAACAUUGUCCAACAUCCUUCAACAAACCACUUAAGGCAUAGCCCAAAAACACAGGCUAAAAAUGCAUAUUUGGUCACUAUACUUUGCCUCUAUUUCAUUUUCGGUCAGUGUGUUUGGUUUUGCAAGGAAUUUAAAAACAAUUUUGAAACUCUGGUAAUUAACAAGUUAGAAUCCAGAUUUUAAUUUUGGAAAACAAUCUGUCUGUUUUCAAGAAAAUGUUGCUAAGGGACUGAAAGACCACGCUAUAGGCCUCCUAAAACUACUUACACUUCUCGGGUUUAUCCACUUUGCAUUGUGAUAAAAUUGCUAACAAAAAUUGAAAUACAGUGACUAUAUUGAUACAUUUAAAACCACAGGACCAAAAGUGAUUUUGAGUCAAAACACAGUGAACAAAAAUAUAUUUUACCCAAAAAUUAAAUCCAGAAAUACACUGCAGAAACAAACAAAUAACGUAUGGCCCAGCAUACACUAAAAAUACAACAAAAGAAAAAGCACCGCAACUUCGUACCUGAGUGGAGAAGUCAGCAACAUUAUACGGAACAUGUGAUCCCUGACUUUUAAAGUCAUCACCCAAACAUUCCUGGCAACAUAAAAUCAAACAUGAAAUUAAAAAAUGAAUAUCAACAUGACAAGUUACUACGAACAUCAUGUUUAGUACGAGAAAAACCUGAGACAUGCCCGCCAUGGAAAAUCCAUCACGAAACGUUUGGCUUGGCCCUUGAACUGGCAUCUGUUGCAUACAACAAAGAAGAGCACAUGCAUCAGGCGGGAUGAGGGAACAAGAUCUAGGGGAGAAUUGGUACAUGAGAAAAACAGAUGGAUAAAAUGGGCCGGUACAAACAUUAUUGACAAAUCCAUGUUGAGAUAAGGGGCCACCAACAGAUGGUUGGCUAUUUGGAUUUUCAAGAGAAGGAAUGUUGAAGGUAGACCCCAUAUUCCCAACAUUUUGUUGUGUGCCUUGCUGGUGCGGAAGAUGACUGCCAAUUGGAGAACCGGCAUUCCCACGUCCUGCCCCAAAACCACGACUUCCAGGUUGAGGGACAUGAGGAACAGCUCCAACUGGUCCAUGCACAGCUCCACGAGUUGGAAUAGCAUAAGGUUGAGAAAGGGGUCCUCCAUGAAAUGGCGAAAGAGGUGCCCGAGGUAAUGGAUAUCCAGCCGGAUGUACACCAGGCUGGGUACCAUUGGUGGGCCAGGAGGUAGGUAAGAACCUGCUUUUGGCAUAAACAAUUUAUAAGGAUGAAAGACAAAUCAUUAUUUUAGAAUACGAGACCAGUUAAGGUUUUCUACUUAUUUAUUGGAUUAAAAACUUAGAACUCGGGGGUUAAUUAUUUUUAUCUAUUUCCUUGUCUAUGUGGGAUUAAUUACUUUUAACUUUUAAAGGGAAAAAAAUUAACAUUUCAACGCAUGUGAAACCGUUUAUUUGAAUCACCAUAUCAAAUGAACCCAAGUUCAUAUACUAAACACUAACAUAUCAAUAACCAUUACGUUAAAAGUGUUGGCUUCAAUUUUUCAUUUAGAUUUCUUCCCUUUUUCAUCCCUACUACUUUUGUAUUUGGUGGAAUAGGAAAAGUAAAAGAAAUAUCAAAACAAAUAUAACAAGAACACCAUCAGAGUAAAAUGGAAAGCGUGGAGAAAACAAACAAUGCACUUCAUCCUACAAUUCCUGGAGAAAGAAGGUAAAAAGGGAAAGAUAAAAGUACUAACAUACCCCUACCCCGAUUACUUCUUCUAUCAGCACUUUGGCCAGCUGAGGCAACAGACCCAUAACUGUCAUUGGGGAUAACUCCAGGACCACCACCAUAGAAUAGGCGACGAUCAUUGUAGAUCUGUGUCAACAUAAGAGCAAACACAACAAAUUUACAUCCAUCAUAAAUUGGUGAUCUCAUAAUUAAGAUCCAAAUCCCACAACAGAUUAAAAAUAUGAGUACAUCAAAAGAAAAAGCAUGAAAACUUAAUUUUUGCCUUCUCUGCUAGUGACAUACCUUUUUAGGCUUUGGAAAUUGCACCAUACUCUGCUUCAGGUUAUUUAGCGGCCCCUCAACCAAGCACUCGUGUUCCUAACGGUGUAUAAAAUGUCAGUACUAUGGAAUGCUAAAGUCUGUAUAUCAACCCAUACAGAACAAUCAUUUUUAAUGGGCACAUGACAAUCAAAGAAAGAAGAAAAGGUGAAUAAAAUAAACAGGAGGAAAACAUAAACAAAAUUCGCAGUACAUCAUUAAUUAGCAGUAACAAAUAUGCUGCCAGCCGUACAAGUAUUAGCCAGCUGCCACCAAUCAUUCCCAAUAUGACUUCUUUCUUUUGGAAACUACAAUUGAGCGACUCACUAUACUGCUUUGGUAGUACACAUAACUUUAUCUAUAAAUGGACACACUACAAACACAAUGAACCAGAGGACCUAAAAGGACUUGAGAAAAACAGGACGAGAACAAAAAAAAUACAUAUCUAGCAGAAAAAAUUGGUCAAGUUAAAUAACAAAAAAUACUUGAGAAAAACUUAAGUCUUUUUCUAUUAGCUGGAAUAAAAAACAAAAGGCACAGGUCAACACACACCAACAAUAUCAAAAUUACAGAGAACAGUUAAUACCUUGUAAUGAGUCAACAGGCUAUUCCACAGUGGCUGCUUACUAAGAACUUUAGGGUUUCCAAGAAUGACAAUACCAUAUCGAGCGCGUGUUAGAGCAACAUUGAGCCUGCGAGGAUCAUUAAGGAAUCCGAUGCCCUGAAAAAGGAGUGUAUUAGCCAGGAAUCCUCACCCCCCGCCGCAGCAGGGAAAUAGCAACAAAACAAUUCAAAUGUAUAUUGAUAACAGAAAAAUGUGCAUACUUCACACAAGUGGUUUUAUGAACUCACCUGAUGCUCAUUACUCCUUACACACGAAAGGAUGAUAUAAUCCUUUUCCCGUCCUUGAAAUGAAUCUACGCUGGCAACCUGUAAUAACAUAAACAAUGAAGCAAUAUAGACAAAAUAGGUCAAGAGCAAAGGCUUCUACAUGUGAUGAAUAUAUUACCUCAAUUUCCUUAUAAAGUUGCUGUCUGAGAGCACCAUUUCUCGACAUAUGGUUCACAAUAUAAGCUCUCUGUCCCUCAUAUGGUGUGAUCACUCCAAUCUAUAAAGUGUAUUUUUAUUAAAUUAAUGAAACAUGGAAUCCAGAUAUAAAAUGCUAAACCCAUAAGGAAUGUUGUAGGUUCACCUGACUAGGGACUACGCCACUCCUCAAGAAUGUUGUGACAAUCUUUUCAACGUUAGCAGCCUCAGUUCUGUUCAGAUAGGAUGUUCCACUAGCACUUAUCUCCUCUUGCCCCAUCUAUAACACAGCUGUAUGAGUCCAGAACAAGUCUUCGGAGAAAAUAUGAUCUAAAAAUGUCGACAGAAAAGCACCUAGUAGACUCUUUGCAACAAACUUUUAGAUGGUUUAAAUUAUUCGACUGGCACUUAUUGUUACCUGUACAUAAAAGAACAUGGGACGAUUGGGAACCGGCCAAGGAAAAUCAAUGCCCGAUGAUUGCCUUUCAUUGAUGGUAACUCCAUUUUGAAGUGUGCCCUCGUAGAAGCUGUUAGAUGGAAAUUCUGACAAGGCUGGAUGCAUUCGGUAUUGAACCUAAAAUUAAAUCACACAAAAUAUGUUAGUCUUGCAACACAUGCAAGCAAGAGCAAUUUCACUGUGAACGACAUACAACAAGACAGAAAGUGUCAUAAGCCUCUUAAUGGUGCACUGAUAGCUACACUAUGCAACUUAAUAUUUGAAUCAGAAACAAGACUGAUGACAGAAAAGAAUUAAAAUCAAAUAAAAAAGAACCAAACAAGUUAAAUGUUGAGAAUAAUCCAAACAAAUUAAAUCAUAAUAAAGUUUAUUUGCUCACAGAAGCUACGGAAAAUGUGAUAAGAAGGGAAAAAAUAAAUACAGGUACCUAAACUCCAAAGCAAUAAACAAUGAGUUAAGGGCAAAUACAUUGAGAACUGCAAUAAGCUUCCAAUAAAGAGAUAAAGAUAAGUAAAGCAACAACUUCAUUGGCACACUUUAAUAUUGAAUUGAAUGUUCAUGCUGUAACAUUAAGAAGAAAAGACCAAUAUCAUAUCUAUUGAUGAAUGGGUAUACAAAACAGUGUUUUAAGGGCGCGCCUAAGCGCCUUUGGAGGCAGGAUGCGAGUGAUAACGCCUCUGCCCAGUGGGAGUGGGCAAAAACUCGCCAAGGCACGCCCAAAGGCGGUUGGCGGGCGUUCCCAGAUCCAUCCGUGACCCAAAAUCGAAGUCAAAUGCUCUGUUGUCUGGGUAAAUCGAAGUUGAAGGUUCUGUUAGGGUUGCAGGGUGUGCAGCGUCUUCAUGAGGAAGACGACCGUGAAGAAGAGGAGGGAUUUUUUUUUUCAAGGACUUGGUCCAAAACGAUGUCGUUCACUUUAGGCCAAGUCUUUAAUUUUUUUUAAAUGACGUGGCCCAAAGCAACAUCAUUUUGGCCAAGUCUGUUUUUCUUUUAUUUUUAAAACCACAAGAGUCCCCUGUUUUCCCUGUUUUUCUCAGCAGUCCCCUAUUAUUUAAGGUCCCGUAAGGCUUCGCCUCACACCUAGGCGGGGCUAUCCAUGGAACGCCUUGCCCACACCUCUGCCUUUUAAUACAUUGAUACAAAUAACAAAACUCAGAUUUCAUCUCUGAUUAUCCAACAUAAAAGAAUAAAUAAACAAACAAAUAAACGUAAAAAAAAAGGCAAGUAAAUGUACACUAGCAAUGAUACUAUGCGCAGCUACCCAUGCAGACACUGAAAACUGUGGACCAAUUACCUGCAAUCUAAUUGGUUUCACACCAAGUAUAACGAGGCGUUCAAAAAGAGACUGGGCAAGCCCAGCACGAGCUGCUUUCUUGCACAUAAUGACUGGACCAAGCUGGCAGUGAUCUCCAACAAGAACAACCUAAUACAGAAAUUUCUCAUCAGACUCCGGGCAACAACUUGUUAAAAAUCAAGCUCAUAAUCAAAAUUUAGCAACGUCUACGUAUUUGAUCUCAAAGUACCUGCUUUGCCCCAAGAACCAAAGGAAUCAGGCAUUCAGGUUCUGUAGCCUGAGUCGACUCAUCAAUAAGUACCUACAAGCAGAGGAUAGAUUUGUGUAAGCUAUUUUUAAGUUGUGACAGAUAGUAACUAACUGUUAAUUUAAGACUUAUUUCAACCUGACGGAACCUAAAAUUGGCCAAUCGAGGAUCUCCAGCACCAACACAUGUGCAACAAAUGACAUCAGCACUCUGAGAAAUCUCCCUCUCGGUUGCCCGCUUCAGUGCCUUAUAUUUUUUCUCAUCAUUACUAGACAACUCUCCUGUAAAAUUUCAGGAACUAAUGAGCAUCAACUCAAGACAAAUAUACAUAGUUUUUAGAAAAGCGAAGUGACCUUGCUCAUCCUUCAAUUGUUGCAGCUUGUGAAGUUCACUCUUUUCUGACAUGUCAAGAUGACGAACCUGAGAUGAACAGAGUCGGUAUGCAUCCAGUUAAAUAAGUGAACAUAAAGAAAAGCCGGACAUGAAAAAUUAUUAAUUAAGGCAACAAGUCAAUACAAACCUGGUAAUGAAGGGUUAAAUGCUCAACAGGAGAACUUACGGCUUCCCUUGAUUUUGCACAAAGUCUAACAACCUUAAAUACCAAAAGGAAGAAAAAAAAAUCGGACAAAUUCAUAAGAAACUUACCAUUACCAAAGAGACAUAUAAUACAUAAAAACUUUUGCAAUGUUUGAUGCAAAAAUGAGUUAAUUCCUGAAUCUCAUAAACAGCACAAAACUGUAAACCAACUAGUUUCAAACAAAUAGAAAUCAGAUUACACACUGCUAUGCUUUACAAAGCAGAACAAGUGAUACUUGAGAGGGAGUCAUUCUAAGAUGGAAAUAAAUACGUUUAGGUACUCAUUUUCUGAUUUCUUGAUGCUUGUUAUUACUUUUCUUUGAUGGAUAUAGAUUUCAGCUUAAUAUAAAAAGCAACAACAUGAACAGUGAACAACCGAUCUAUCAUAAAGAAGAGCAAUCUAAAAUUCAGAGAAAAGGAAACUACUAAACAGCCGAGCAACAAAACCAUCAUUUAACCCAGGUAAAUAAGAAGCUCUCCAAUCUAAUAAAAUAUAAGAGAAACAGAAUCCAUUUAUGUAUCUGCACAACAUUGCAUACACAACCAAGGGGAUAUUUAAAUAUUCAUUCAAAGAGCCACAAAAACAAAUGGGACACACUUUAGAGUCAGUAUAAUUGCAGGCAAAGGCCAAGCACUAG
rnacentral:lncRNA from 1 species